rnacentral:lncRNA from 1 species
UUUUUUUUUUGUUGUAGAAUUAAUAACUAAAAUUUGAAGUGAAUAAAAGUCAGUAACAAAAGAGUUUCCUGUUGUGACUAUCCUAAUUAUACAAUAAAUCUAGAUAUGAUGAUUUAGGAUGCGUUCUAUACAAACCGGUAUCGAAAGGUACAAAUAAGCGCUAUUAAUUAAGUUUUUUUGUUACCAAAUUAAUUAAAUAAAACAAACUCUUCGGUUGAUCCUAGCUUUUUAUUAACUUAAUUAAAUAAGAUCUUAAUAAAAUAAAAAAGUAGCAUUAUGAAUAGUGUAAAACUCCCAAUGAUAUAAGCUCAAAAGCAUAAAAAUAUGUGAUUUUCAAUUUAUACCAGAGUUAAAUCCCAAAACCAAACCAAUAUGUUACUUGUUACUUCUUACUUAUUACAAGUUGAUUAAAAAAAUUACGGAUUUUAAUAGUUGAUUAACUAGAAUGAUGUAGUCCUAAAUUAUUGGAUUAGUCUAAAAAUAGUUAAAAGUGAAACAUUUAUGAAGUAAAAAAUUAAAACCACUAGAUAUAAUCACAAACUAAAAAUCAAAUCUUAAAUUAAUCACAUAAAAAGUAUGAGUCUUUGCAAGCAAGGGUUUUAGCUAGGCAUGACUAAAUACAAAUUUAUAACAAUAAAUAAGAAACUAGACGGUAAAUAUAAAUAAACUAAAUGUAUCGGUCCAGUCGUAAUCUUCAGAUAUUCAUAAACUGCCAAAAAAAACAUAUUAAACGCCAGAAAAAUGCUCUGGAACUCAUAUCCCUUGAUCAGGAAGCAAUGGGGAGUAUUUAUAGGCAAUAGACAAUGUUCUAGAAGAACUUUGCUUAACAACGUGUUAGACGCACCACGUCAGACUAAAACAUUGCAUUUUCUGAAUUAAUGAAGUGUUUUGCUAUUUUUUUUCGAGCAAAAACACGAUCGUGUAAAUGGACAAAAACGAUCAUGUUCACCUUUGAGGAUUUACCAAUAAAAUUUUAUCAUAUUGGGAAUAUUACUAAGGGAAGCGCAGCGCCUCAGAAGGAGUGUUAUAUGUUUUUCACAAAUUCUAGAUUUCAUUGUUCUUUUGGCCCGGUAAAUCUUCGACAUAAUUACACGAUAAAAAAUAUGAUCGUGUAACUCCUGAUGUGAACGUGUUUUGCCUUUGAAGCCCUUAAAUGAUGUCCAGAAUGGCAAUAGAAAGUUAUGAAUUGAGAAUAUGAUCAUGUAACGAAAACACGGUUGUUUAAAUAUGUAAAUAUUCGAUUCAAACAAGAAUUCUUCAGUUUCAGCUAAUUUUAUCUAGCUUCCAACUUCCAUGGGUGUUUUAACUCCAUUCAGCUCCAAAAUGCAUCCAAGUUGCUUCUAGAAUACUACUGCACUCGAAAUACCUGAAAAUGACACAAAAUUAUGAGUAGUACGUGAAUUCCGGUGAAAAACAUAAGCCAACCAUUAUUUACAAUAAUUUAUAUAUAAAAGCAUAAAAAUGGUACAAAAUUAUAGUAAAAACUAAUACAAAUGAUACAUAAAACAGUAUCUAAUAAAGUUUGAUGGAAGGGAUGGAACAAAGGCAAGAUUGUUAGGGUGCAAAACUCUCUAUGAGAUAUUGACUUAGAAGGCUUUCUCUUAUUUGAUAUGGGUUAUGGGUUGAGAUAGCCUAUAAACACUUGUAUAGUAUUCUUUGUAUAGGUGAGGAGAUCUCUCAUUGUAUAGAUGAGUAGUGUAGUGAGAGAGAGAGAGAGAGAGAGAGAGAGAGAGAGUAAUGUAGUAAGCAAGCACAUGCUUCUAGUUUUUGUACGACUCCAUUAUCUUUAAAACUUGUGCUUAAACAUUAGAUCGGGUCUUAUUGAUUAUGCAUUGAUUUUUAAUCCUGCAUUUGUCAUUUUCCAUGGGAUCAUGCAUGUGGUAUCAGAGAUUAAUCUUGAUGGUUUAACAACUUUUCCAAGAUCAACGAUCCUAGAUGACAACAUUUUCGCGUAAUCGACUAAAAGAAUGGAAAUGUUUGGUGUGUCUCUCCAUUGGAUCUAUUUGCUUUCAAUUCCAGAUUUGUUGAUCCAAUUAUCUUUUGAUUUAGGCCAAAAUUUGAUUUGUUUUUAUUCAAAAUCAAGCUUAAAAAUAUCAAUCUACAUUUUCUUUUGAUUUAGCAACCCGUUACUGUUCAUCUGGUCCAAAUUUGGGCCCAAACAUUGAGUUUGUUACUGUUCACAGAUUGGUUCAUUGAGUUUGUAGCCCAAUUCUAUGUGAUCAAAUUCGAUCUGAUACUAUUCAUCUCAAAUCCCAAUUUCUUUUAAUUUAGUCCACAUAAUUGAUUGAUUAUUGUUCAUUUGAUUCAGACUAGAGCCAACACUAUUCACAGAUUCUCAAAAUUAAUUUUCGUGUAUGUUUCUUGAUUUCGGUUCCUCGUAAAUUGACAAUCUAGAAAAUACAACUUGUGCUAAAAUGUUAGAUUAGGUCUUAUCGAUUAUGUAUUGAUUCUUAAUUUCGUAUUUAUCAUUUUCCAUGGGAUCCUACAAAGACGAGGGCAUGAAUUUUAGUUAAGAAUAAUCACGAAAUGGUGAGUAUAUAUGGAACUUUUAACAAGGGUACAUGUAAUACUUGCUAUAUUUUACGAAAAUGCUUCUACUAUGAAUCAACAUGCUAUACACGAUAGUUUUCUAUAAAUUGGUUAAUGAGUCGCGAUGUUCUUUAUAUUUUUCAUAAUGAUAAGAACUUAUAUGAUGCAUACCAUAACAUUUUGUGUGUGUGGAUCGAAUAUAUUUGGAAAUUGUAUUGUAGAAUGAGAAUGCAUCCAUAUGAGUGCACUUUUCAUUGGUUUGGAAGUAUUUCUUCACACCAAUCUCCUUAAGGGUAUGAUGACAUUAUAGUACCUAACUCGCUCUAAGAGUACGAAAUUGGGAUGACAUGGGUAUGAACUCCAUAAUAACUAAUUCAUAGUGAUACGGUGUUUUAAAUGGUAGGAAGUCAGCGUAUCUGAUAAGUGUAUAUGAAAAUAGGGUCCAAACUACCCAAAACUCUUGUACUUGGAAAUCAUGUGUUGCAUUAUAUGAUGUUGUGUUAUGCAUGAAAGUAUGUUUAUUAACUAAUUCUAUAUUAAAAUGAAUUCAGAUAAAUUAUAUUAAUAUUUAAAAUGACUAAAUACUUUUUUUUGUGAAACCCUAUAAACUCAAGAGAUGAAAGGCUUACAUAUUCUUCAACCUUUAAAUAUGACAGGUACUCAUGUGCAGAAGAUAUUGAUUCCUUUGGACACUAGCAUGGAUGUUUGGGACAUUGUGAAGGCAUAAUUUUUGUAACUUAUAAAUGGAAACUAUUGCCUCAUCAUUUUGAAAAUGAUAAAUUUUGUAAACCUUAUGAAUGCUUUCAUGUGAUUGUUUGUGGUAGUUUAUAAACCCACAAUUUAUGUUCUCACAAUUUGUGAAAAAAUUAUUUUAUGAAAUGUUUUAUAAAACGGAACAUAAAAAAAUAUAAUUUUGAACUGGUAAGAAAUUUGGGGGUUAUUAGCAAGCUUCGAUAAACAUACAAUAAACAUAUAGAUGCAAAGAAAAUAAAGAACACACAUAUAUAAUUUGGUUUAUACGAUUAGAGUGGGCGUCAAAUCACAUGACUAUAUAUAUAUAUAUAUAUAUAGAGAGAGAGAGAGAGAGAGAGAGUGUGUGUGUGUGUGUGUGUGUGUGUGAAAGAGAGAGAGAGAUUAUGAAUUAUAAAUAGUCAUGAACCUAAACUUGAUUGUGGGUUUACGCUUACAAGGCCUAAUAGGUCAUAAUCAACAUGUCUAUCCUAGGACUAUAAAACUUAAUCAAUAUUAGCCUCGACUGUAAACUUGUUGCAUAACUAAGUUAUGGCUACAUGCAACCUAGAACUUCUAAAUAACCCUAGCUCUAAUAGAAAAUUAUAAAGGUUUAAACUACAUAUCUUAUUGCUAUUAUCGCAGAUAACAAGGUACUUUGAAUAACUUUCUUGGAAUGUUAGCCCUAAUAAUGUAGAAGCCUCUAAUCAAUCACACUCAAACACUAGGAAAAUCCUCGUAUCAAAAUAAGAGGGGGGGGAGAGGAGAAUUUAUAUUGUCUUAUGAUUGUGUAGGUUUCUGAGUCUUAUGGAGGUCCCUAUUUAUAGUUACAUGAAACCAUAAUUUAAAUUCAAAAUAAUAAUAUUAUAUUUCAAUUCAAAUUCAGUUUUCUUAUCAACCAAGGAGGCUUCCAGAAGCCAUAGAAGGGCACCUCAAAACCAUCCCACCUAGGGAGGUUCUAGAAUAUUUCAUUGUACAACGUUUAAAGAAUUUCACUUUACCCUUAGACUCAUUAAUUAAUUCUGAUUAAUCCAAAACAAUUAAGUAACUUAACUCCGAUUAAUUCCUAAUUAAUUACCUCUAUUUCUAAUUAAUAUAUUAAUCUAAUUAUAUAUUAACAAAUUAUUAAUCUCUCUCUUAAUACUAAUCCAAGCCAUUUCUUGUUUGUGAAGGGAACGCAAAAAAGACUUUACUAUUAUUCACUCCAUACACCAAUUUAGUUAAGACCUUAGAUAUCCUGAUCCAACAAACAUUUGUCUCACUGAACUUCUUUAAUACUUUACGAUUAUAGUUCAAAGCUAUAUAGUACCAACAAUUUUGAUUUUGACUAUGCUUAUUAUCAUAAUCUAUCUGCCAAUUCCCAAGUCCUUCAUCUCAAACUCUAUAGAUAACAACUUCUUUAGUAUGAAGAUUUCCACAUGUUUGAUUUGGCUACUAUAUGUCCUCAACAUAUCAAACUAUUCCAUGCAGAAAUUAUAGUGAUCCAUAUUGCAUCUUAUGUACCUACUCAUAUUCAUAAAGCUUCCAAUCUUAAAGUACUACCACCUUGGAGCUUGUUGUAACGUAUAUAGAUGUUUCUGCGAAUUACAUGCAACUUACAUGCCAUAUGAUCUUUAUUAGUUGCUACAAAAACCAUAUGGUUUUUCCAAGUAGAUAUCUUUAUGAAAGUAUACAUGCAAAAAACAUUUCUUCAUAUGUAUCUAGUAGCUCUAUGCGUAAAUCUUCUGCAACCACAAUACCAAGUACCAAUAUAAUUGUAGUUACCUUCAAAAAUAAAGAGAAUAUCUCAGUAUAAUCAACUUUGGAUUUCAAUUUGAAAUCCAUAACCACCAAUUUUUCCUUUUAUCUCUUUUUUCCAUCAAUUUCUGUAACGCCCGCAGAUCCGGGCUAGUCAAUUUAGAGACAAUAAUCAUCAAAAAUGAUUUUUUUGAUGGAAGAUUAUUUAGAAUGAUUAAUCUUAACCAAGUUAUAGAAUAUGUCUCAAGGGUUAUGUACAUAUAAAGAACGCCAAAAUCCGAGUUAUAACGAAGAAGUUAUGAUCCGUCGAAGUUUUACGGCAAAACCGAUACGGCACCGGGAAUCGUAAAAAGUGAAUUUACGAUAGAGGACUUUUUAGCCUUAGAAAUCUAAAAAAAAAGUUGUAGUAUACGUUAAACGAUAACAUACAAAAAAAAGAACGCCCAAAUCUGACUUCGUAUGAGGAUGUUAUGAAUUUUCUAAGAUUUAGCAUAGCAGUGCACGACCCGAAACUCGAUUUUUAGAUCGAGUUGUUUUUGGCCUAUGCAACCUAAAUGAGAGUUGAAGAUCUCAUUAAUAGGAAUUCAACGGUAAAAAAACAGAUGAAAACGGAGUCCAUAUGUAGAAGUUAUGAAUUUUACGCGGACAUUUAACAGUAUAAUCUUCUUGUACUGUUAAAUUUAAGAUCGAGAAUUAGCCGACGGAGUCAAAGUGAAAGUUGUGGAUCUUAUUUUUAAAUAAAGUUGAAAAAGGAGCUCGUAUGCGAACGUUAUGAAUUUUAGAUAUCGGGAAGGAAAAUUGUGAAGCUGUCGCUAGAUUGAUGACGUGGCGCAAUCCCGGCCGUCCUUGUUGUCCACAGGCCUCGCUUCAGAUGGAGACACCUGGCCUCGCUUCGCAUCGCGUACAAGGAACGGCUAGCGUUCGGAAUCGCUUGGACUCGGAUGGACCACGUUGCACCUACUGGCCUCGAACACGUCUUUGUACGAACGUUGAGCGUAACCGAGGAACGCCUCGCGUAGAACCAAGGAGCGCAGCGCGUAGCCAGCAGCUCCCAGCCUAUAAAAGGGCUACGAGGCAAGACGAUUUCUCUCACCAUUUUAACCCCUCUUUCUCUCUCUACAUUCUCUCUCUAGCCCCUAAAACCCCCCUAAAGCCUAGCUAAAUGCCUUAUCACCCUAAGGAAGCCCCGAGGCUCCCAAAGCCCUCAGAAAAAGAGUCUUUCGACUCUGAAACGCUGCUCCAAGCGAAGCCUAGUUUUCUAUAAAAACUAGAUGUACGCUAUUUUUAAUAUAGCUUUUAUUUAAUUAUAGUAACAUUAUUAGGAACUUAUAAUAAGUAUUUGCGCUAUUAUUAUGAGUUAUAUAAGUGUCAUUAUAAUGUCUUUUUAACCACUCACGGUACGGGGAAUCUGGUUUUAAAGGGUCGCAUAGGUUUGUUGGAUUUCAAAAGUGCUAUAUGCCAAAAUGAUCAUGCCCUCCGGUGUUUUAUGCUUGGCCCCUGUCUGUACAUAAUGGUUGGAAAAUAUUCUUUAAAUGCUUAUAUAAUAAUAAUAAUAAUAAUAAUAAUAAUAAUAAUAAUAAUAAUAAUAAUAAUAAUAAUAAUACUAAGACUAAUAAUUAGUUGUAAUGAAUAUUAGACUAAAAUCUAGUGGUAAUGAUAUUGGGUUUCAUCGAAGGAAAAUAAAUUAAGAAGCGAAGCGCUGCUCGAAUAUCGAGUCAUCACUUUAACAAGUGAGUGCAUAGUUACUUUCAUCUUACACAUAGAUAUGAAGUAUUUACUUGCUAUCUAUGCUGGAUGAACGAUUUUAUACAAGUUUUAUAUGAUUUAAAUUGUAUACGUAUUUAUAUCAACAUAAUAUGUAGAGUAAAACAUGGGUAGGUGACAUAUGAGUUAGAUGAUAAGUUGAGAGGUAAUAUAGACCAUGAGGUAAGGGUGAGAGGUGGAUGAUGUGAGAAGCCUUUUUCCAAAUGUUGGCCUCGUCAUCUAGCAGAGUAUGGAUGACAACCGCAGACUAUUCUAGACAGUCCAACGGAACACUAGCAGGCUCACAACCUGUAGGUGUUAUGAACGAUGUGUUCACCGAUGUACUCUAAAACCCAAUUGACAUGUAUUGCAAGUGGACUCUCGAAAACGAUACUGUCAAUAAACGAGAUAACCUUGGCAGAUGCGCCUAAAGGACUCUACUGGUUGAAGUGCCUAAUAGAGAACCUCAUAACCCCGACAGAUGCACCUAAAGGACUAUAUCAGCAGAUGCGCCCCAUAAAGAAUCUCACAAUUCUGGCAGUUGCGCCUAAGUGAUAAUAUUAGCAGCUGUGCUUGAUAGAUGUGUCAUUAGCAAUGAUGGAUUUCGUGCCUCUUCCUUAGGAUGAUCCUUAGGAAUGAAUGAACAAGAAAUAGUUGAUUCUUAGGGUAGAUCCUUAAGAGUAAAUAAGAUAAUGGGGAUGGGUAAUUGAGUUAAUUGUUUGAUGAUUAAACAUAAUAAUUAUAUUAUUGUGGGUUGAAAACCCUAUGUACUCACCAGGUUGAAAACCCUAUGUACUCACCACUCAGUUUAUUUAUAUGACAGAUGUUGAUAUGAAGUCACAUUACACUGAGAGAUUAAAGAGAUAUAAAUCACUAGUGAUAAUGAAUGUAAGUUAUGUUUAUGCUUAUGUUUUUGUAUUGACGAUGACAUCCCAAAUGUUUUAAAAUGAAUAAAAAUACUUUUCUUUGGAAAUGAUUUGAUAACGUAUUUAUCAUGUUUUAUUGGGAACAAAUUCCGCAACAUUUUUAUUAAAAGUGGUCCUCUGAUUUUUAUAAAGCAUAAACAAAAUUGGUCUUUUCUGGCCGUGAAAAUGGGGAUAUCGCAGUUGGUAUCAGAGCAUUAGUUUAAGCAAACUAGGAAUAUGGAUUUAUUUCUAUACUUAAACUUAAAAUGCUAAGCGUUGAUCGUGAGGAGUGUGUCUAAUAAAAUUUAGGUAAUACAUUUAAAUAGACACAAGCACUAACUAAUUUAGGGAAAAUGCCUAACAUGCUUUUAUGUGCUAAAUGAUUUAUGAUGCUUUAUGUUGCUAAAUGUAUGAUAGGAUCUAUGGUCUGUUGCCGACUGGAUUUGGAAACUUUAUGUGCUCAAAUUUCUAAAUAUUUAAAUAUAGUAUUACAACUGACUUGUAACUUUUCGGGGUAAUAAGGAGGAAUACGCGUCUAAAUCUUCCUCUAUCAAUAUUCUCGUUUCGAUACACCGAACGCCUGCUUUGGUGUAUCAAAUGACAUGAUAAGGACUCAUAGCAGACUGAUAAAAUGGAGGAAAUGAUAAGGCUUACGAUAGUGAAUGAUACCUAUCGGAAGAUAUUUUAAGAGUGAUAUCUUGUCUUUAGAAUGCAUCUAAUAAAUAUACAUCUAGUACCGAAGAAGUACACUUUCGAUUAGCAAAAAGAAAUAUUUUUGGUAUAAUCCAUGAAUUUAUCCUAUCAUCUGACAUUUCCAUCACCAUCCGAGUUGAAGCAUAAUUGAUGAUUGAAGAUACGCAUGGAAGAACUCCUAGUAGAGUCUAGAGAAAAUUAUAUGAUUGUUUGGACACAUUUGUAUGUGUUAAAAUUAUUUUUGUGAUAAUAACUUGGAGAACUGCGAGACAAUACUUGGGACGAGUAUGAGUAGGUGUGAAAGGUAGUAGAGGCAUAUACUACCAGAAGCACAUGACUCACAUAUGAAUCGGGGAAAGUCACAAGUUUACCAAGAAGCUAGUAGUUGAUUCCAUUUUGUUCAUGUAUGUCAUUACCAUUGUUUCCGUAAUGACUACAAAGAUGAUUGUUAUUCCGACCCUAGUGGUCAUAUCAAAUUGUCACACCCCCAAACUGAAACAGCGGAAAUGUUUGAGGGUGGAGGACGUUAUGUAUAGUAUCACAAUAAUUUCAUCAUAGUAAUCAAAGUAAACACAACCAUUACAUUAAGAUAUGAAUAUUUACAUCUGUUUGAUACAUAGUUUGUAUACAUCAAAAGUAUGACAAAAUAAGUAAAAGACGUAUCUCUAUAUGCUCCGUCUUCUCAAAAUGCUGCAGGAGUACUUGAUUACUGGUUUCCUGAGAAUACAAACGAUUUUUUUUGAAAUAGAGUAUCAACAUAAAAGCUGGUGAGUUUAUAAGCAUGUUUUUGUAAUGAAACCUGUCAUUGAAUCUGUAAAAUGUUUGUAUGCUUCUCAAGAAAAUCCAAUAUUUUCUAACAUACAUGAUUAUUACAUUGUUCUGAAGUAGUGUGUAAUGUAUUAGUUUGCAUGUAUGGUUACCACCAGCUGUAUUGUAUGAUGUUGUUUUGAAUGAAAACCCUUUGUAUGAAAACCCUGGCUAUCAUUGGUAAUGUAUAGAAUCUUUUGUUUGAAAACCCUAGUUACAACCAGUAUGUAUAGUAGUUUCAUUACUUAAAAUAAAACUAUGAUUUGAAAUCCAUGGAAUCCUCCAGUUGUAUUAUGAACUAGUUUUAUUAAUGAAAAUAAAAUGUAAGUCCCCAAAAUGCUUGUGUAUCAAUCAGAUCCGUUUGAUGGUGCGGAAUCCCAAUCAAACGAAUGAUGUCAUAUCAAAUAGAAGAGAAGGAGAAGAAGAAUAAUAAUAUGAAUCUCAAUGUAUUGAUGAAUAGAAUGAUGAUCCUUUACAUGAGAUUCACACGCACCAACACACACUUGUUCUUCUCUCUAGUUUCUCUCUCUAGAACACCUUAGAAUACACACACAUAAGCUCCUCUAGAUCGUCACUCAUCAAUCCACUCCUCACCCGUUACACCUAUAUUUAUAGGGAACAUGGGCCGUGAAUAGGUUUACGGCCGUAAACCUGUUCACGGUCGUAAACACAACCGUAAACACGUAUACGGCCGUAAACAUCAAGCUGUUUACGGUCCAAGACACAAAAAUACAUUUUCCUAGAAAAGUAAAGUAUAAAACAUAUUUUUGACCCAAAAAUCUCCCCCUUGGUUUAUAACUUUCUUUUCUAAAUGACCCAACAAGCUCCCCCUAAAAAAGUAGCUAGCUUUUCUUGUUAAUCUUCAUUAGAAGCUUGGCUUCAACAUUUAUCUUCAAUGAAUGACUUCAUCUUGAGAACUUGGGCAAUUCUUCAAGAUUUGGCAUUGAACGCACAUUGGGUGAGGAAGCUUGACGUACUGAUUCUUGAAAGAUAGCGCUUUCAACUUGAAAAUCUUCAGAGAGAACAUCAGAGAGAACAAAUCUUAUGGAUCACUUUAGCAGGUUCAUAGAUAGCAGCAGACUGAUUGAGGAGGCUUCAAUGCAAUCCGUCACAUAAUAUUCAAUUUCAGCUUCACCUUGCUUCUGGGGUUGAAAGAUUGAAUGUCGAAAGAAUAGUUUUCAUUUCUUGCUUCUUCAAAUGAGAAUCCUUCGAUGAUCACGGAGGAAGCCUUGGCUCAUAAAUCUUCGACACAAACUCAAUGAGUUUCAUCUUCACCUGAAUUCACUUGUCAGGACAAAACAAAACUAAAAGAAAACUUAGCACCCAAAUUAAAACAGAAAGAAAAAUAUUUUUGGAUUUUUAAUUUUCUUAUUUUUGUUUGAUUUUUUUUUUAAAUUCUCCCCCUAAAUUUGUGCAUAGAGGAAAACUAUGAACAAAUUUAACAAAAAGAAAAAAAUUUGGGAUGAAAGUUGUGAGACAGCCUGAACUUUUUUAUCGGUACCUUCACCUUCAUGAAUAGAUCUGGUCAAUUGCCGGUAUUGUGGUCCACUUAAACACGAAGAAUAUUAACAAACUUCUCUAAAUAAACCAUUUAGCUGACGACGACCACAGGUAUUGUUGUCCACUUAAAUUAAGCAACGAGAUCCACAGACAACCUCUUAAAUGGUUCAAUUUUAGUUGCACUAGAACGUGUUCCCCACUUCUCGAUAUACCUUUGUUAUCAAGAACUUCCUAAGGACUCCUUACUUUAGGUGAGUAAACAAUUAUUAAGGAGGAAGUCAGAUUUAGAGAUAGAUGCAUAUGUUGUGUCCCAGAUCGGAUCUCUUUCAAUCACGCAGAGGGUACAACAUAUGAAUAACAGAGAUAGAGGGAUUGAUAGGUAGAAUGUUGCAUAUGUUGUGUCCCAGGUCGGAUUUCCGAUCACGCAGAGGGGACAACAUAUGGAUAACAUAUAGAAAGAAUUUCACAGAUAGGAGGUGCGUAGAAAUAGAGUUACAUAUGUUGCAUUCCAGGUCGGAUCUUCCUAUCACGUAGAGGAAGCAACAUAUGACUGACAAAUAGAAAGAAAGAAAAUAAUUUCCUACAGACCUACUUUAUCAGAACCCCCCCCCCCCCCCCCCCGCCCCNAUCAAAAUCAGAAUUAAGGACAUAAGUUCGUACAUCAAGGAAAAUCCGAACCACUGUUCUAGAUGCGUAUUAAUUUAGUGUAUCCUAUGGGUUCCCGUGUUUAUCUCAGUGCUCAAUCUACUCGAGCGUCGUAUGGUCAGUCCAUACAAUCCUAUCUAAAUCCACACUGUCAAAUUCUUCAUUCCUACCAGCACAUUGAUCACAAAGUCUAGACAAUUCAGAUUCAGUCCUUUACACAUGUUUUAGACUGCCCGUUAUCACUUUCUUGAUAUCACUUUCCAAACAAUACUUACAAACAAAAAAAACUAUAAAAGAUUGUCUUUGAAAUGAAUCAUAUUAAGAUAAACUCAGGAGUAUAGAGAAGAACACGCAAACUGUAAUUCACCGAUUCAAUUCGCAUCCAGAAGGUCUGAGAACAGCACGCAUAAUCUCAGAACAGAUCCAAAAACUCUUCAUGUCACUAAGCACUAACCCCAUGAGUGAUCCCUUCCUUUAUUCCUUUCCUGCAAAGGACACAUACUCUCACUUAAAGUUCUGAGUGUUGUACAGUUGAGAGAUGUCCCUUAUCAUGUGCCUGGAACAACCACUACUAACAAACCGAAGUCUGAUGAUAUGCAUCCAUAGUUGCUCCAGCAUAAAGCGAGAUUAGUUGGUCUUUGGAACCCAGUCCAUUUUGAAACUGAGUCGACCUUUAUCAUCAUUGAAUGGUACUCUAUCCCAUGACAUAUCCUGUUUAUCACAAACAAAAGAUGAAGAAAUAUUAGAAUCGUUAGAAGAUUUGGGAGAGUGAGCCUUUGGAACCCAUUUGUAGUUGGGUUUAACCCAUUUCUUUUUCGAUCUGAUGGGUGGCUCAGUACUUGCUUUUGAACUUGAUGUCGGCCAUUGAGAUGACUUUGACCUAACUGGUCUUUGUUUCACUGGAGCAUCUCUUGGAUUGGGCUUAUUGGCCAACAAUCCCUUCUUGCCCUUAGGAUUCGGAUUCUUGGCCUUGUAGGUUUGAUUCUUGGCCUUCUACGCGGUCCAGUCAACAUUGUCUGAACGUGACCUUGAGGGGUUUCUUUUGGAGUAUCUCCCUCAUGGCGCGUUCUGCCACCCUUGUGCAUAGUAGGGAACAUAUGCGUGAUUAGGACAAUUUCUGGCAAUGUGUCCAGGUGUUCCACAGUGAAAACAAGUCUUUUUCUUCACUAUGAAGUUGUUUCUUCCUACUCCUGGUGGCGUAUCCUUGCCUUGUCUCUUAUUGUUCCCACAAGCACAAUUACAACAGGCACUCUGUUUCACUGGAAUUGGUGGCCUGUAUUUCUCAACAGAAGGUUGAUCAGAAGCAGCUGAGUUCGAAGCAACAGAUUCAGAGCUCAAGGAGAUGUUGGUUUGUUCAAUGGUUUUCUCCUUGUUCUCAUACUCUGCUACUUUACCUGCACAUAAAGUAGAAACAUUAGAAUCUUCAACCUAAAUACUUCCUAACACAAAUCCAGAUGGUUUUCCAUAAUAAAGAUGUGCCUCCUUGUCAAUUUCUUCAUGUGUCAUAGGGAUGGAUGUAUAGUAAUGAUUGAAAGGAGGAGGAACACAAUCAUACCCUAGACCCUUGUUUUGAUUAUCUUUAAAUUUUAAUUGGGUUUCAAAUAUUAACUCGAUUGUCUUACUUGGCAGAAUAUAAUUUUUGAAACUAACAUCUGUUUUUCCACACUUAAUUUUCAAAGUGUCAAGUUCUUUAGUUACAGCAGCAAGUUGUCUCUUAAUAUAGUCAUAAUUUUCACAUUUUUUGCUAUACUCUUCCUGAAGCUUCCUAAAGUAUUUGGUUUUUGCUUCUAAUUCAGCCUUCAUGGGUUUCUGUCCUUUCCUAAAUUGAUAUCCUUCUUAUUUUAGGUCCUCGACUUCCCUUUUUAGCAAAUCAUUAUGUUCACGAAGAAUUUUAAUCGUAUCUUCACAUGAUUGUGAGCAUGAAACUUCAUUGACCGGGAUGUUUGCAGAACUCAUUGUUUUUCCACACUUCAAAGCAUCAAGUUCUUCAAUUACAGCAGCAAGACUAAGACGAUUGAGAUCUUUUGUCUUCUUGAUGACAUCCACGUUCAUAUCCCACAAUUUCGGAAGUGAAUUCAGUAGCUUUUUGUUUAUCUCAAAUUUGGUCAAGAAGAUCCCAACUAUAUUCAUCUCAGUAGUAAGUGUAGUAAAUCGCUGCAACUGAGUUUUCAGGGUUUCUCCUGGGAUAUAAUGGAACAUGUUGAAAUUUUGUCUUAACAUAUCCUGACUCUCUUUCAUGUCUUCAAUUCCCUCGUAGACGUGUUCCUUAGUAGUUCCAGCUGGUAAGGUGCAUGUUUGAAGUGUUAGAGGUCUUGAGCUCGAAUCCUAGCAAUCGCAAAAACUCUAAUUUUUUUUAAGUAUAGGCCACACUCUAUGGGCUGAGGUGUUAUUGGGCCGUAAAAUGUUUCUGGCAGUAAACUCCGGGCCGUAAACUCGGACCGUAAACUGUUUCCAGCCGUAAACUCCGGCCAUAAACUGUUUCCGGCCGUAAACUCCGGGCCGUAAACUCGGACCGUAAACUGUUUCCGUCCGUAAACUCCGGGCCGUAAACUCGGACCGUAAACUCGGACCGUAAACUGUUUCCGGCCAUAAACUCAUCAAAUGCGAAAAAAACGAUGUUUUUCACACUUUUUGCUCCAAAACUCGAUCCAUAACUCAUUUUUAUCAAAAACGCAAAGAAUAAACCCCCCAAAUUUGCCAAGAUCUAUCCAAAAAUGCAAAAAUCCUUUCAAAAUAAGAUCAAAUAAGCUCCAGAUCUGACAAAAUUGACUAAUACAAUCCAAGCUCUGAUACCACUUGUAAGUCCCCAUAAUGCUUGUGUAUCAAUCAGAUCCGUUUGAUGGUGCGGAAUCCUAGUCAAACGAAUGAUGUCAGAUCAAAUACAAGAGAAGUAGAAAAAGAAUAAUAUGAAUCUCAAUGUAUUGAUGAAUAGAAUGAUGAUCCUUUACAUGAGAUUCACACACACUUGUUAUUAUCUCUAGUUUCUCUCUCUAGAACACCUUAGAAUACACACACAUAAGCUCCGCUAGACCGUCACUCAUCAAUCCACUCCUCACCCCUUACACCUAUAUUUAUAGGGAACAUGGGCCGUGAAUGGGUUUACGACCGUAAACCUGUUCACGGCCGUAAACACCAAGUUGUUUACGGUCCAAGACACAAAAAUACAUUUCCCUAAAAAAGUAAAGUAUAAACCAUAUUUUUGACCCAAUAUAAAACUAAUUAAGAAAGAAAUCCCAUAAAGGUUAGUUUAUACUAUUGUGAGUUCGUAUAACCAUGCUUGAUAUGACCUAGUGACCUCUACCAUAUUCUUCAGGCAUCAGACGUUAUGACAUUUGUCACCUCAGGCAUGCCUGCCUAACUGUAGCUAGCAGUUCAGGUGUGGGAUAGUCAAUGCUGAAUAGAUCUAUUCACAAAUAUCACGCUCUCCCUCCAGGAGACUCUGGUUAUACUAUGAUAGGAUUUAACCUGUACCCCAAAGGUACAAUUGAAGAGUUGUCUCACAAUCCUAUAUUAACUAGCUUAUGUGUAGUAUUAUAUUCUACUGUACUUGAAUCUGAAUGUAAGCCUUGUAGAGUAAAAAGAAUUAUACUUAGAUAAUUAUUUAAGUGAUGUACUCUUGCUAUCCUGAAGAUAGUAUAGUAUAUCAUAAACUAAGUAUGUCAUAGUUUGUAUGUUUGUUAAUGUAUACGCUCUGAAUUUGUAACACUGUGCAUUGAACUUCCAAACUAUACCUAUUAUAGUUUGCAUGUAUGUUAUCUACUUGGUUCGUGUAUUUAUCUAAAAACUAUGCAAUUAUGGUUGUAUGUUGAAAACUUCCCUUGUGCUCAGUAUGUUACAAAAGGGAUAAAAUAUCUAAAUAUUUUAUAAAUUGUAGAAAUCGUUUGACUGUAUCAAUUGCACAAGUUUUAAACUUGUUUAAAUCCUUUUGUUUUGAUUCACAAAAUCAUUUCUGUUUGGCUUGUAUUCUCCCCCCCCCCCCCCUUCANGAAAACGUUAAAAUUUCAUAAAAGCGUAGGGGUAUGAACUCACUGUUAGUUGUGUGCAAGCGUCAAAUCAACGAACUGGAAAUGAAGACCCUCUAGUUGUUGUAUGUGGCACUUAACGGAAUCCUAAUAAAAAUUAAAUACAUAUAUGUAUCUAAAUUAGCGAUUGAUAGAUAAAGUGUUAGAAAAACACUUGCUUUCAGUUAAGGAAUGUUACCGGGAAUUGAUGGAAUCGGGGAAGAUGGGUUUUCAGUCUAAGUCACCACUUAGGGAGGGUUUGCGGCCAUGAAGGGGGUUUACGUCCGUGAACUGCCUCUUGAAGGGUUUACGGUCGUGAACCGGUGUACGUCCUUUGAAGAUUCGAAGGUUUGAAGGGUGUAUGGCCGUAAAAUCGAGAACAAUGAUGUUGGAUUCGAUGAAAAUGCGUUUUAGAUGCUCUAAAACAACCUCUAAAGGUGUUUCUUGAUGAUUUUCGGAAGAAAAGAUGUGUUUUUGGUGUUUACGGUUGAGAGAUUAGAGAGAGAAUGAGGGUGUUUCUGGCCAGAAAGCUGUAAAUGAGGGGUAGGGGCUCAUAUUUAUAGGGGAUUUCAUGGUCGGUGGUGGGGGCCACCUGUCGCUGGCCGUAAACAGGUGUACGGCCGUAAACGAGUUUACGGCCGUAGACAUCACUUAGUCGAAAACUAUUGAUUUUUCAAAGGAAACUCAGGUUUUUCACGUGGUUUUGGUUCCGACUCAUAAAUAUAAAAUUCAAUUAUACAAAUAAAUGAUUUUCCAAACCAAAGGAAUUUGACGGAACUCAAUGAAAUUCAAAUUUUAUUAAUAGAAAUUGGCUAAUGGCAACGGAAAAAGGUUCAGUGUGUCACACAAAUUGAGUCCAACUACGAUGAGUAUGUUACGUGGUUUAGAAAACCAAUUCGAUGUAGCAUCUAACUUAAGCCGGAAGAUUGAAAUAAAAUAUAAUCAAAGCGAUCAGUAGAGGUAUCGCGAUAGUUGCUUGUAGCUAGAAAAUGCUACCUUUUAAGAUGUGUUUAUAUCACAUUGGAACAUGAAGGAAGGUAUAAUAUGUUUUGGAAGACUCUAAGAGACCUGAGUCUAAGCAUUGCAACAUACGAUGAUAGGUCAUUAGAAUAUGACACAUCGUUCCAUUGUAGUAAUAAAAGAACUUAUCUUAAGUUCGUAUCCAGUGAGGAUUGAGAUUGUGAAUUAAAGGUCAUAAUUUGGAGUCUAACAUGAGAUAGGGAGCAAGUGCAAGAUCGAACACCGCCUGCAGUCAAGGAGCCCAAGAGUUAAAUAGUUAUUCAAAGGAACAAAGAAGUUACGAUUAUUACCUAGGAUGAAGAGAUAACUUAUGGAGUCAUUAUACUGCCCUGUUUCGUUGAUGAUUCUGGGACGUAAUAAUCCUAAGGGGGAGAUAAUUGUAACACCUGCAGAUCCGGGCUAGUCAAUUUAGAGACAAUAAGGAUCAAAAAGGAGUUUUUGAUGCAAGAUUACUUAGAAGGAUUAAUCUUAACCAAGUUGUAUAAUAUAUCUCAAGGGUUCUACACAUAUAAAGAAUGCCGAAAUCCGAGUUACAACGAAUAAGUUAUGACCCGUCGAAGUUUUACGGCAAAACCAACACGGCACAGGGAAUCGUAAAAAGUGAAUUUACGAUAUAGGACUUUUUAGCCUUAGAAAUCUAAACAAAAGUUGUAGUAUACAUUAAACCGAGAACAUACAAAAAAACGCCCAAAUCUGACUUCGCAUGAGGAGGUUAUUAAUUUUCUAAGAUUUGGCAUAUAAGUGCACGGCCCGAAACUCGAAUUUUAGAUCAAGCGGUUUUUGGCCUACGCGACCUAAAUGAGAGUUGAAGAUCUAAUUAAUAGGAACUCAAUGGUAAAAAGAUAGACGAAAACGGAGUCCGUAUGUAGAAGUUAUGAAUUUUAUGCGGACAUUUAACAGUAUAAUCUCCUUAUACUGUUAAAUUUAAUAUUGGUCGAGAAUUAGCCGACAGAGUCAAAAUGAAAGUUGUAGUUCUUAUUUUUUUUCCUAUGCGUGGAUACAAAGAAUGUCAAAAAUGGAGCUCGUAUGCGAAAGUUAUGAAUUUUAGAAAUCGGGAAGGAAAAUUGCGAUGUUGUCGCUCGAUUGAUGAUGUGGCGCAAUCCCAGCUGUCCCUUGCUAUCCACAGGCCUCGCUUCGGAUGGAGACACCUGCCCUCACUACGCAUUGCGUACAAGGAGCACCUCACGUUCGGAAUCGCUUGGACUCAGAUGGACCAAGUCGCACCUACAGGCCUCAGACACGUCUUCGUACGAACCUUGAGCAUAACCGAGGAACACCCUGCGUCCGAGGAACGCCUCGUUUAGAACCAAGGAGCGCAACGCGUAGCCAGCAGCCUCCGGCCUAUAAAAGGGCUGUGAGACUAGCCGAUGUCUCACACAUUUUCAACCCCUCUUUCUCUCUCUACAUUCUCUCUCUAGCCCAUACCCCCCUCCCAAAGCCUAGGUAAACCCCCUAGCACCCGAAGGAAGUGUUGGAUAAGGUGUCUAAGUCCAUAACUAUUUCUGGUAAGUACUUGACCCGACCCGGCAUGGUCCAUUUGGUUUGCAUGGCACCAUGCAAUUGGAUAGACUAAAUGAGAGAAAUAACUCUUGGAGAUUAUUAAUAUAUUAUAAGUUCUAAUAUAUUAAUAAUAUUAUUUGAUUAGUUUGAUCAAGAAUUAACUUAGAAUUAAUUAAGCGAUCAAAAGAUAACUAAUUAAAUAUAUGGGUUGAUUAUGUAAAUCAUCCAUAUCUUGUAUAGUGGACUAAGAGGCUCCAUGGAUUAUCAAGUUGGGUUCCACCCAUAGGAUGCUCCAUGGGAGUUACAAACCCCAUGGGUCAUGGAAAUGAAGAGUCAUGACACAUUAGGGUUUACAUGGUGUAACCCUAGAUGUGUCAACACUAUAUAAGAGUCCCAUUCUCCACCAAAAUCGGCUACACAUAUGAAACAAGAGGACUAGGCCGAUUUUAAGAAGUGUGUGUUCUCUCAAAAGUCUUUCCAAGAGCAUUUGGUGUUGUGUGAAGCAUUUGAGGCAUCACACUUGGGGUGCUAGGCUCACAAGGUUUCAAGGAACAUAAGCAACAACAAGGUAAGUUAUUCUAUCUUUCAUUCAAGUUAAAAAUUGUUCCCCAUGUAUGCUAGAUAGGAAUAUAACCUUGGAAUUCAACUUUGCAUGAUAAUUAGACAAACAUAGAUCCAAGGUUAUUAGGGUUGCAUGUACACUUAGGAAGUGUUAGAAUGCUCAAAACCCAUCAGUGGUAUCAGAGCCUAGGCUUGUUUGUUUGUUAUUUGUGCUUAAAAGUUGAAGAAAGUCGAAAAUCUUGCUGUCUGACUGAUGGACUCGGCGAGUCCAUGGGGAGGACUCGUCGAGUUCAUGUGUAUCUUCAACCUACUCGGCGAGUAGGUUUAUGCACUCGGCGAGUAGGGUCGACAGAGUGCAGAAUUUCGACUUGAGUUGCUGGAAAUGGAUUAGAAUCAUUACCCUAAAAUGUUUUGGUACUUGAAAACUUAUUUUAGAAGGUGUAAUGUCUUUUCUAACUCAUUUACAACAACUAGUUAUCAAAAUUACAAAGAUUAAAUGUGAUUUUGAUUCUUGAAAGUGUUCAUAUUCAUAUUCUUGUUCUUAUGAUGUUUAGAUGAUCAUAGGAAUUAUUUGUAACCUAUGUGGUAGAUUAAUUCAUGAUCAUAAUGUGUUUUAAUGGAGUCCAUAACUUGUCCUCAAGUUAUGGAAAACCAAAAGUCUCUUGGAUUAAAAACCAUUAAAAGAACACAAGAGUUAGGAAAAAUGAAAAGUCCUCAUUUUAUUACUCUAUUAAACUCAUAAGUUACAAGAAAUGAAAAGUUUUGAAAGUUUACAAAACUUGCCCUCAAGUUUUGGAACAAGUAAAGUUAAGUUAAAACUUUAGUUCCAACCCCUAGAAUUUUAAAAGUUAAAAUUCAACCCUUAUACUUAUAUUAUUAUGAUUUAAUAAUUAUAUAUAUAUGUAUAAGAACAAAGUCGUCUUACCGCUAGUACGCCUCAUUCACGAAGCCGGUCUAUAAGGUGGGUAUAAGGUUGUUGCCUAUAAAAUGGUGACUUAAUGGGUGUCCACUCUCACCCACCGCUUGCUUGAUCGGUGGAGGGUCGUUAGCCGAACGGGUAAGACAAGGACUUAUUAAUUCUCAUUCAAAGUAUGAUGAAUAUUAUAAAGUAACUAAAUGUUUUAUUAAAUUCCCAAUCUUAGUUACUUUAGGAAAAAUGUGAAUAAGGUGCUAUUCCAUGAAAUUACACUUUACACUUUGAUUAAGUCGUUGGUGGAGCGUGUGUGGUUAACCGGCACACUAACUUGGACUUAACAAGGUAGGUAAAGGGUGACUUAGGGUUUAUUAUAGUAUCGAUGGAGCGUGUGUGGUUAACCGGCACAUCGAUUGAGUGAUAAACUUUAAGGGUACCAAGUGAUUUGCAUGGUUACUUCACACCUCGUUUUGUGAUCCUCGGUAUCCCAGUCACAAAACUUGGAGGGCACACUCGAGAUUGAAACAUGCCUUUGAAAAGUUCAUUGAAUCUCAAAGAAUCUAGGAAUUUCUAAGAACCAUUCAAAAACCUAAUACUAAAAUAUUGCGGUUUUCGUGGUGGAAAUUGGUGAAUCGUCAUUCACCUACCUUUCAAAUAUGAUAUAGCUUAGAUUACGGCAUACCUCUUCUAAGUUAUAUUAUAUUGUGAUUGGAUCCUAGCCUUAAUAUUACAUUUGGGUGUUUUAUUAAGGACUCUCUUAUAUCUAAACUAAUCUUGUCCUCUUUCCUUCAGAUGUCUUUCAACAAUGCUUCUGGCUCUAAUCCUAAUGGCUCCUUUACCCUUAUGAACUUGUGUGGGAAAGUCACCUUUGAUGGAUCCAACUUCAAUGAGUGGAUCAGAAACAUCAGGAUGAUUACCCGCUACGAGGACAAAGAAUAUGUCCUUGACAAGGAGCUUAAGGAGAUUGAUGAGACCACUGCAACUCCCCAGGAGAUCGCUGACUUUCAGGCACAUGAAAGGGAUGCUACCAAAGUGGCAUGCAUCAUGUUGGCCACCAUGACAGCAGAACUCCAAAAGUCCUAUGAGGACUUCUACCCUUUUGAAAUGCACCAAGAUCUGAUGGAAAGAUACCAUCAAAGUGCACGACAAGGGAGGUAUGAAAUCAGUUGUUCCAUGAUAGCAACCAUGAUGAAGGACGGGGAAUCCGUCAUGAGCCACAUGCAGAAAAUGCAAAGGUAUGUGGAUUGGUUGUUGAAGCUUAAUGUGAACUUCCCUGAGGAGCUUGCAAUAGAUAUCAUUUUGCACUCCUUACCAUGAUGCUAUGAUCAAUUCCGCAUGACAUAUCACAUGAAUAAGGAAGAAGUCACACUCAGCAAACUUCAGGGACUUCUCAAGACCGCAGAAUCAGGUCUUAAGGGGAAGUCGGUUGCUAUCACUCCUACUCAAAACUCUACUCCGGUUUUGGCAAUCGGGAAAAGUCGAGGGAAGAAGAGAAAGAGCUCUUCUAAGGGUACCAAGGCUCGGACCCUUGAUGGCUCUUCUUCAAGUGGAACCAAGAAAGGUUUCGUCACUCCUUCUUCUGACCCAAAAGAGGCUGAAUGCUUCUAUUGCCAUGAAAAAUCACAUUGGAAGCGGAACUGCCCAAAAUACCAGCAAGAUGUGAAGGAUGGGAAAGUUAAACCCAACCAUGCAGGUAUUUACACUAUCAUUUCUAAUAACUCACCCCAUUCUAAAUCUUGGGUCCUUGAUACCGGUUGUGGUAUUCAUAUUUGUUGUGACUUGCAGGGACUAGGAAGAAGUGAGAAUGUGGAGCAAGGAAGAAUAAACUUAAUCAUGGGGAAUAGGAAAGUUUCACCUGUCACCAAGAUUGGAGUUUAUACUUUAUCGCUAAGUAGUGGGUUUAGUUUAGAUUUGAAUAAGUGUUGUUAUUCGCCAGAAAUGGCAAGAAAUAUUAUUUCCUUUCAUGCAUUGUAUAAACAAGGUUUCACCUUUUCAUUUGAUAAUGAAGUUGGUUCAAUUAAUGCUUUCUUUAAUAAUGUUCUUUAUUUUAAAGCAUUACCUUGUGAUGGCGUGUAUGAAACAGUAUCUGUGGUUGAUAACUUAGGAAAUAAUGUAUUGUGUAUUGAUUCUGUUAAUAAUAAUAACUUGGAUAAAGCAUCAUUAUGGCAUUGUCGUCUUGGACAUAUAAGCAAGAAACGCAUAGGCCAACUCCAAAAGGAUGGAGUCUUGGAGUCAUUUGACCUAAAGUCUGAUGAUAGUUGCGAAUCAUGCUUACUUGGAAAAAUGACAAAGUCACCCUUCACAGGUUCUUGUGAGAGGGGUGAAGGUUUGUUGGACCUUGUACACACGGAUGUGUGUGGACCAUUCAAACAUGCCACAAGGGAUGCUAAUCGUUAUUAUUUGACUUUUACUGAUGAUUACAGUAGAUAUGGAUAUGUCUACUUAAUCAAGCAUAAGUCAGAGACUUUCGAAAAGUUUAAGGAAUUUAAACAGGAAGUCGAGAAUCAAUUGGGCAGGAACAUUAAGAUGCUUCGAUCCGAUCGAGGUGGUGAGUAUCUUAGUUCAGAGUUCCUCAACUAUCUUAUAGAAUGUGGGAUUGUCUCAUAAUUGACAACUCCCAGGACACCGCAGUUGAAUGGUGUGGCUGAGAGGCGUAAUCGAACCUUGUAGGAUAUGGUUCGUUCCAUGCUGAGUCGAGCUUCGCUAAUAAUCUCAUUCUGGGGGUAUGCCUUAGAGACUGCCGCCCAUAUCCUUAAUCUAGUCCCUACAAAGAAAGUUUCCAAAACUCGUCAUGAGAUGUGGACUGGUAAAGUACCCAAACUAGACCACAUCAAGAUUUGGGGUUGCGAGGCUUUCGUGAGACGCGAGACUCAUGAUAAGCUCGAACCUCGAAGCGAGAGGUGUAUUUUCAUCGGUUACCCACAGCGAUCCUUUGGUUACCUCUUCUACAGACCUAGUGACAAUGUGGUCUUUGUAGCAAGAAGAGGAGUCUUUCGAGAAAGAGAGUUUAUAAGCCAAGGAGACAGUGGGAGGCAAAUUGAUCUUGAAGAAAUUCAAGAAUCAAGCGGUGAAGGAACUUCAAACUCUAGCCCUCAACUUGAGGAGGAAACUCCUGUUGAGCCAAUUGACAAAUCUGUACCUCUGAGACGUUCCACGAGAGUUAGGAGUGCACCUGAGCAUUACUAUGGAUUCCAUAUUACUGCAGAAGGUGAGACACUUAUUAGUGAUGAGACACUAGUAAGUCAAGAUGACCCUAACAGCUACGAGGAAGCCAUGGCAGGCCCCGAGUCUGCUAAAUGGAAAGAGGCUAUGGAUAGCGAGAUACAAUCCAUGUAUGACAAUCAAGUUUGGAACUUGGUUGAAAAUGUACCAGGUCGUAAGACAGUAGGGUGCAAAUGGGUCUUCAAGAAGAAGACCGACAUGGAUGGUAAAGUACACACUUAUAAGGCUAGACUGGUUGCAAAGGGCUUCUCUCAAAUUCCUGGAGUGGAUUAUGAUGAGACCUUUUCUCCGGUAGCCAAGAUUAAGUCUAUUCGGGUUCUGUUAGCCAUAGCUGCAUUUCAUGACUAUGAAAUAUGGCAGAUGGAUGUCAAAACCGCUUUCCUUAAUGGAAAGUUGGCUGAAGAUGUUUACAUGAGUCAGCCAGAGGGUUUUGUCAGCAACGAGUACCCUAAUAGAGUGUGUAAGCUUGAGAAAUCCAUUUAUGGAUUGAAGCAAGCACCUCGCAGAUGGAAUCUUUGCUUUGAUGAAAAGGUCAAGGAAUUUGGCUUUUCUAGGAGUGAAGAUGAAUCUUGUGUGUAUGUCAAGGCUAGUGGGAGUAUAGUUAGCUUUUUGGUAUUGUAUGUGGAUGACAUACUACUCAUAGGAAACGACAUUCCAACCCUGCAGGAAGUAAAGUCCUGGCUUGGGAAGUGUUUCGCUAUGAAGGACCUUGGUGAAGCUGCCUAUAUUCUAGGGAUAAGAAUCUUGAGAGAUCGGAGUAAAAGACUAAUUGGACUUAGUCAGAGUACCUACUUGGAUAAGGUGCUGAAGAGAUUCAGCAUGCAGGAUUCCAAGAAAGGAGAGUUACCCAUCCAGAGUAACACCAGAUUGAGUAAGACACAAAGCCCUAGCACUGAGGCUGAGAUAGCAGAAAUGAGUCGAACACCUUACGCUUCGGCUGUAGGAUCGAUCAUGUAUGCUAUGACGUGUACUCGACCCGAUGUAGCUUUUGCCUUGAGCAUGGUUAGCAGGUAUCAGGCGAACCCUGGCAAGGCACACUGGACUGCGGUAAAGAAUAUCCUCAAGUACCUACGGAGGACUAAGGACUGGGUCCUUACCCUCGGUGGGAGUGAUGACUUGAGAGUUGUAGGGUAUAGUGAUGCUAGCUUCCAGACUGAUAGGGAUAAUUUCCGCUCUCAGUCGGGCUGGGUCUUUACCCUAAACGGAGGAGCAAUUUCUUGGAAGAGUUCCAAGCAAGAGACAGUGGCAGAUUCUACUUGUGAAUCAGAGUAUAUUGCAGCUAGCGAAGCAGCAAAGGAGGCGAUAUGGCUGAAGAACUUCAUUGGAGACCUUGGAGUUGUACCAGCUAUUAAAGAGCCAAUGGAAAUUUUCUGUGAUAGUGAAAGUGCUGUUGCCUUAGCCAAGGAACCAAGGGAUCAUGGGAGAUCCAGACACAUCGACAGAAAAUACCAUUUCAUUAGACAUCGGAUCGAAGAAGGACUCCUCGUGGCAAAGAGGGUAUCAUCGGAUGAGAACCCAGCAGAUCCCCUCACGAAGGGACUGAGUAGGGUUAAGCAUCUCCAGCAUGCUCGGAGCAUAGGGCUGAAGGAUGAUAUAAGUUUUAGUAGUUAGAUAACCCAGAAAUUUGUAAAGUGUAAUUGACAUUUGAUGAUGAAUAAAAGGUGUUUUAUUUAUGAGUAAAGUGUUGCUAUCUCUUGUCAAUCGUUUACUAUAUUUCUUUUGCAUGUUUUGACUUCCAGAAUAAUUUUGUUUGGUGUAACAUAUUAUUCAAACCUCCACAGUCGGUCAUAUGUCGGAAGUAGGUAUGAAUCAAGACUGUCAUGAUGGGUUGUAGAGGUCUAAGGUGUUGGACAAGGCUACAACAAUCAUGAGUGCUCAUAAGUUCUGAGCAUUGGACUCAACCCACGCUCACUGGAAUCACUUCAUGGAAUUCUAUCUCGAGUGAUCGUGAGACGGUAAUAUCAUAUAAGUCUUCAAACCUAGAGAUAUGAUUUGUUACUUACAAGUUGGUUAUGCAUUGACUGUACGAAACCGCAUUGGUAACUCGAUGUUAUAAAACGUACUUUUGUGUGUAAUUCAAUGAGUGGUAGAACAAACAUAUGAGUCGAAGUUUAUCUGUUCCUUCUUGGAUUAGAAGCUGAUAUCUGGGCCCCUCGAUGAUUUUGUUUUGACCCAUGUACCGGGCCCGGUCAGAACUAAGUUGAUGUGUUCAAUUAAGUUCUAUGUCAAACAAAUCGGAAAUCGGGAAACAAAUGCUGGACAAUAAGCAAGACAAUGUUCCAUGUAUUUGUCCGGCUGAUAUCUAGAACGGAGGAUUAUAUGAUCACUUAUCUUAAAUGGCGUACCAUCAUCUUCUCAGUUCCGAGAGACCUUGAAAGAGCUACGAUUGCCGGUCGGUUCCUGAAGUACUAGAGAUAUAGUUAUUAGACUUAUCCAAGUGGGAGACUGUUGGAUAAGGUGUCUAAGUCCAUAACUAUUUCGGGCUUGUACUUGACCCGACCCGGCAUGGUCCAUUUGGGUUGCAUGGCACCAUGCAAUUGGAUAGACUAAAUGAGAGAAAUAACACUUAGAGAUUAUUAAUAUAUUAUAAGUUCUAAUAUAUUAAUAAUAUUAUUUGAUUAGUUUGAUCAAGAAUUAAUUUAGAAUUAAUUAAGUGAUCAAAAGAUAACUAAUUAAAUAUAUGGGUUGAUUAUGUAAAUCAUCCAUAUCUUGUAUAGUGGACUAAGAGGGUCCAUGGAUUAUCAAGUUGGGUUCCACCCAUAGGAUGCUCCAUGGGAGUUACAAACCCAUGGGACAUGGAAAUGAAGAGUCAUGACACAUUAAGGUUUACAUGGUGUAACCCUAGAUGUGUCAACACUAUAUAAGAGUCCCAUUCGCCACCAAAAUCGUCUACAUAUAUGAAACAAGAGGGCUAGGCCGAUUUUAAGAAGUGUGUGUUCUCUCAAAAGUCUUUCCAAGAGCAUUUGGUGUUGUGUAAAGCAUUUGAGGCAUCACACUUGGGGUGCUAGGCUCACAAGGUUUCAAGGAACAUCAGCAACAACAAGGUAAGUUAUUCUAUCUUUCAUUCAAGUUAAAAAUUGUUCCCCAUGUAUGCUAGAUAGGAAUAUAACCUUGGAAUUCAACUUUGCAUGAUAAUUAGACAAACAUAGAUCCAAGGUUAUUAGGGUUGCAUGUACACUUAGGAAGUGUUAGAAUGCUCAAAACCCAUCAGGAAGCCCCGAGGCUCCCGAAGCCUUGAGAAAAAGAUUCUUUCGGCUCUGAAACACUACUCCAAGUGAAGCUCGAUUUUCUAUAAAACCUGAUGUAAGUGAGCUACGCCUACGCUAUUCUUAAUAUAGCUUUAUUUAAUUAUAGUAACGUUAUUAGGAACUUAUAAUAAGUACUUGGACUAUUAUUGUGAGUUAUAUAAAUGUCAUUAUAAUGUCUUUUUAACCACUCGCGGUACGGGGAAUCUAGUUUAAAGGGCCGUAUAGGUUUGUUGGAUUUCAGAAGUGCUAUAUGCCAAAAUGAUCCUACCCUCCGGUGUUUUAUGCCUGGCCCUGUCUGUACAUAGUGGUUGGAAAAUAUUGUUUAAACGCUUAUAUAAAAAUAAUGAUGCUAAGACUAAUAAUUAGUAGCAAUGAAUAUUAGACGAAAAUCUAGUGGUAAUGAUACUAGGUUUCGUUGAAGGAAAAUAAAUUAAGAAGCGCAACGCUGCUCGAAUAUUGAGUCGUCACUUUAACAAGUGAGUGCAUAGUUACUUUCAUCUUACACAUAGAUAUGAAGUAUUUUAUAUAAACUACAUGCUAUGUGUGCAUAUUAUAUGUAACUUGCUAUCUAUGAUGGAUGAACGAUUUUAUACAAGUUUUAUAUGAUUUAAACUGUAUACGUAUUUAUAUCUACAUAAUAUGUUGGGUAAAACAUGGGUAGAUGAAAUAUGAGUUGGACGAUAAGUUGAGAGGUAAUAUAGACCAUGAGGUAAGGGUGAGAGGUGGACGAUGUGAGAAGCCUUUUUCCAAAUGUUGGGCCCGUCAUCUAGCAGAGUAUGGAUGACAACCACAGACUAUUCAAGACAGUCCAGUGGAACACUAUCAGGCUCACAACCUGUAGGUGUUGUGAAUGAUGUGUUCACCGGUGUACUCUAAAAACCCAUUGACAUGCAUUGUUAGUGGACUCUCGAAAACGAUACGGUCAAUAAACAAGAUAACCCUAGCAGAUGUGCCUAACGGACUCUAGCGGCAGAAGUGCCUAAUAAAGAACCUCAUAACCCCGGUAGAUGCGCCUAAAGCACUAUACCGGUAGAUGCGCCCCAUAAAGAAUGUCACAAUUCUGGCAGUUGCACUUAAGUGAUAAUAUUAGCAGCUGUGCUUGAUAGAUGUGUGAUUAGCAAUGAUGGAUUUUGUGCCUAUUCCUUAGGAUGAUCCUUAGGAAUGAAUGAACAAGAAAUAACUGAUUCUUAGGGUAGAUCCUUAAGAGUAAAUAAGAUAAUGGGGAUGGGUAAUUGGGUUAAUUGUUUGAUGAUUAAACAUAAUAAUUAUAUUAUUGUGGGUUGAAAACCCUAUGUACUCACCCGGUUUCCCAACCUGACCCACUCAGUUUAUUUAAGGAGAUAUAAAUCACUAGUGAUAAUGAAUCUAUGUUCUGUUUAUGCUUAUGUUUCUAUAUUGACGAUGACAUCCCAAAUAUUUUAAAAUGAAUAAAAAUACUUUUCUUUGGAAAUGAUUUGAUAAUGUAUUUAUCAUGUUUUAUUGGGAACAAAUUCCGCAACAUUUUUAUUAAAAGAGGUACUCUGAUUUUUAUAAAGCAUAAACAAAAUCGGUCUAUUCUGGUCGUAAAAAUGGGGAUGUCACAAUUUCUUAUUUGAACCUGAAUACCCACUUGUUCAACAAUGUUUUCAUCCUUACUUGGUAAUUUCACUAAGGAGCUAGUCGAUCAGUUCUACCAAAUUAUCUCAACUCAUCUUUCAUUGGCUUUUACCAAUCUAUGGACCCUUUCAUCUUCAAGUCAUAUGGAGAAGAUUUUGGUUCCCCAUUCACCGUCAACAGCAAGUAACUCACCAAUGGAAUAUAUAUGACUAGAGGUCUUCUUUCUAUAAAAUAUCUUUAAAUGGUAUGGUUUCCUAAGUCUACCUCAUCUAUAACUGUAAUUUUAAACUCCCAUUAUCAACUAUCCUCCCACGAUCUCCAGAUCUACCAUACUAAGAUGUCAUUCUCUGUAACCCCUCAAACACCAUUUUAUCCUUACCCAUGGGUUUCUUCUGUCCUUUAAUAUCUUCUCCAAGAUUUUCAUUAUAAAAAUCAAUUUCUUUAAAUAUGACAUUCCUAUUUUUGUGGACCCUCCCACUCUAAGCAUCCUAUAACCCACCUUAUUCUAAAUCAUACACACACACACAUAUAUACAUAUAUAUAUAUAUAUAUAUAUAUAUAUAUAUAUAUAGAGAGAGAGAGAGAGAGAGANNNNNNNNNNNNNNNNNNNNNNNNNNNNNNNNNNNNNNNNNNNNNNNNNNNNNNNNNNNNNNNNNNNNNNAACAAAAAAAAAAUAUGUUGUUUGAUAAUAUAAAUAUGUUCAAUCUUACAUAACUAUUUUCAUUAUCAUAUAUUGUCAAUAAUUAAAUCGUCUACAAGGUUAUUAUAGAAUUUUUAUUAUUAUUCUCAUUCUGUCUCAAUGUUUUAUUGAGUCGUAUUCUUUAAGAAUGAAAAUGAGUGAAAAAAGAUGCAUGACAACAAAAUCGAAUAGAAUUAUUAAGAAUGCAUGAAAAUGGCGAUAGUUUUGUCAGGUUGAACGUAUUCUCAUUACCAAACAACUUAUUCUCUUAGUAAUUGUCAUAGAAUUGCACUGUCCACACAUCCGCACAAUAGUUGUCCAUCCACAUUAUAACCUAGCCAUAUAUAUAUAUAUAUAUAUAUAUAUGUAUAUAUAUAUAUAUNNNNNNNNNNNNNNNNNNNNNNNNNNNNNNCAAUAUAGGCGAAGCAUACACAUAAACCCAAGCAACAAAAUCACUUUGGACCUCCGUUUUGUCAUCUACAAAUUUACUGUGGAUCGAAAAAUCAACUAGAUGAUGGUUCAUUAGUCAGCCACUUAUAGAUCAUCUAUAAAUAAGGUAGCUAAUUGUUAGCCAGCCAGUUGAUGGUUUGCCAGCUAGCUGAUAUGAUCAACUAGCUAUUAAUCAGCCGGCUCAAGUCAUGUUUAACAAGUGUUUAAAUCAUGUUGAUAAUGCAUAAGUACUCUAUAUUCUAUCAAUAGGCUUACAACUCAAGCUAACAAUGAAUAUGAAAUUAGAAGCUUUAUAUUGUACAAUUGUACUUCAUAUUCUGAACAAGCAAUUAUACAUGUAUAUACCAUUGUAGCAAGUAUCAAAAAUGGAUUUUUACAUCCAACAAAACUAAAUUAUCAUAUGUAAAUUACAGCUUUGACAACAUUUCACAAAGAAUGAUAUACUAACACUAGUAGAAAAACAACCUUUUACGACGCUCAUUGCACGUCGUAAAACGCUCGGACGAUGCGCAAAUGCGCGUCAAGGAAGGCCCUGUCAUAAAGAGAGACGAUGCGUGUUUAUGAUGCGCAUUUAUGACACGCAAUGCGUAUCAUUAAAGCCGUUGUCAAGAAAGGCCAUGUCAUAAAUGAAGAUGACACACAUUUUUGCGUAUCGUAAUUUUUAUUAUUUUUUUAAAAAAAUUAUUUAUAGAUUUACUAAUUUUCAAAUUAAAUUCGAAUUUUCGUGUCAUAAACUUUAGCAACCAUUUACGAUAUGCGUAUACUACGUGCCUUUACGAUACUCUUUUAUGCGUAAUAAAAAAUUAUAGAAACACAUAUAUCCCAAAACAAUCAAUUUCAUCCAAUAACAUCAUGUCAAAAAAAUGUAAUACAUUGAUAUUAAAGUGUACAUUGUUAUUAAGAGGUUUUCCCUAACUAUAUAACCUAAUUAUAAAUGGACACCUUCAUGUUUGAGUAACUCGUCAUUAAGUUGUCUGGAGAAACUCUAAAACCCUUCAUGUAUCCAAACAAUCAUCAUGUCUCUUAGCUUCAGUAUCAACCCUAACUCUUGAUCAAGAACAACACGAAAAUCCUACAUAAUUUCCAAAUCAUAAAUCCAAUUUGUCAAAAAGAAAUACCUAACUAGCAAUCUUAUUUACUUUGAAAAAGAUAAAACAAUAUGCAUAUAGAUAGCUUCUGAUUUUUUACUUCCCUUAAAAUGUUAACAGAGGCUAGGGUAAGAUACCACUUAUCAAAGGGCAAGAAGCAACUAAGCAAGAGAGAUUACAUUGCAUACCAGUUACAAGAAAUGGGCCAUGUGCAUAGAAAAAUUUAUUGUUUCAAAUAAAAAGUGAAGGAUUUGCUCAUUAUUAUGACUAUAAAAGCAAAGAGUUUACCUUUUGAGCCAUGAUGUAAGGUCGUUGGGUACGCCAAUGAGGUAUCACAAGCCUUUGCUCCUUAAAAAGCAUCAUGAACUACAUAGAAGCCAUGUCAAAUUAAGAGUUAAGCCACAUGAAUGUGACAUUUAUCAUGCUUUAACUCAAGCAUAUUAAGAGCUACAUUUAUCAUGCUUUAACCAAGAACUCUAAACACAGAAAGACACUGUGAGCCAAAUUCAUCCAUGUAAUGAUUGGAACUAUCUUUUUCACUUGAACAGUUACCAGAAGCCACAAAACAAUCAAAUCUACAACCUGUGAUGGAAUUUUGACAAUUUGUUAAUUGAACAUGACAUCAAUAUAAAAUUAACCAAAAAAAUUAUAAAAUAAUUAUGUUUCAAUCAAUGAAAUUUAAGUACCUUGGCCAUCUUCAUGCAUGCCAUAAGAUCACCAUGAGGUGCUUCUACAACCUAUAGAAACAAGUAAAGGUAAGCUACACUCAUACACCUAAACAUUCACCUUUUAAUCUCAAUGUAGCCUUCAUCAAUCAAGUAACAUAAAGAACCCAAAAGUUUUAUAAGGCCAAUCAUCCACUCAUAUGUUAAGGCUUUCGGGUUUUAUAACGCUUAUCAUCCAUUUAGAUGUUUUAUAUGGCCUAAUAUCAAGAUAAAGAUAAAUGCAAGAUAUAAUAGAGCACUUUUAUUUAUUUGUAUCUUAUAAUGUUUAUCAUCCAUUCAAAUGUUAAAACAUUCAAAAUCUAAAAACUUAAUACCAUGAUUGAUAUAUAAUUGCAGUAUUGCACUUGUGUCAUAUAUAGAAGAACGGUAAAAUGGUCAUUUAGUCUCGUUUUCGGUUCAACACAGAAACUUUCAGGAUGCCCAUAAAUUUCUGCAUCUUUUUGCGAUCUGAACAGCUGAAGAUGUUUAAUUGAGCUGCUGCUGUUGCUAAAACCUUCCCAUCUGAUUCCAUAUGUUAUUAAAAUACCAAGUCAUGAUUCAUAAAAACAUAAUAUACCCUCGAAUAUGAAAAAUGACAUAAAAACACAAAUAAUAUCAUCAUGAAAUCUUUUUUUGUUUAAAUUGAUUAAGAAUUGUUGUGUUGUUAUUAUUAAUAUUUAUUACCUGUUGUUUUGGGAUUCCAACUAUUGAUGCGACAUAUUGAGCUGAACUUUUUUUUAUCACCAGAAAGUAAGUAUACAUUGAAGAUUUGACUGGUCAAAGAUUGAAUAACGUGUGCAACAUCUUCUCUUAUUUGAUCUUCAACAUAAAUAAGACCUGCAAGAACACCAUCUAUUCCUACAUACACCACUGAUUGGUUUUUGAACUCUUCCAUUUCCACAAAUGGGUUUUCAUUAACUCCAUGCCUGUCAUAUCACAAAUAGCAAGCUAAUUUCAUCAUUUCUUCCUAUUAUUUACACCAUAAUAUUUCCAUUUUUUUCUCAUUAUACCUCCUAACCCAUACCAAUGUUCCAACAGAAAGUAUCUUCUUCCCAACUGAAGCUACUGCACCAGAACCAGGUUCCUCCAUAUAUGUUCCAUCAUCAGCCUGCAUAUCAUUAACAAAAAAAUCAAUCACAUUUAAAAAAAAAAUAGUGAUUUUAUUUCGGUAAGGGCGAAAAAGUAAUUUUCAUAAGGUACCUUUACAUUGGGACAUUUAGCAACCUUAGCAGCUUCCCGAAUAGCUUUUCCAAUUGGAUGUAUUGUAUUAGAUUCAACAGCAGCAACUAACUUUACUGACGUUUUUAUGAAUCAUAUUACCAAGUUGUCCAUGUGUUGAUUCCGACUGUUCUCAUAUUUUUAAGUAAAUUAUCAUCAUCUCACGAGAUGAAUUUACUAAUCUUUCUAUUUUAUCAUUUAUACAAGGUGGACACGCAUUGCUCAUGGUAUCAAAAUCUCAUUCGUUUCCACACCAAAAAACCUCAAAAGACUACCCUCAAUUCCCACAAAUCUUUCAACCAACAUCAAACUAAUCAAAAUCAUAUUACCAAAAGUCAACGGUCUACCUCAAAACUGUGAGGCCACUAUUGACAUCCAACAAGAAGAAACAGCUUAUUUAAAAAAAAGCCCAUGACAACUUGCAACAACCAGUUUUAUAUGAAGUUUCCAAACACCUGGACAACUUGGUAAAAAAGAAAAAUUUUGAAAAAGAGGUUCAAGUACACGUCUAACAGUUGUUGCCUCCUUUGCUAAAAUGGCCAUAUUAAUUAUGAAAGCAAACACUCGACCAAUAAGAGGGGUUUUUGUUUGCAUCCCUGUAAAAUUUUCGAAAACAAAAACUGUUAUUAAUAUAAAUCUUUUAAUGAGUCAUAAUAAUUUAAUAUCUAUAUACAUAACAAAACCCCACUUACCCCAUGGGAACAUCCGUUUGAAAGUUAACAAAAUUUGUGAUCAUCUUGUUUACAUCCAAUAAUGAUGAUCCAUGGUCAGUGUUUGGUGUGUCCAUAAAAUUCUCCAAGGUUACUGAAACAAUCUAUUUUUAAAACAAAACAAGAUUUUGAAUAUCAAUUCAAAUAAAAAAAUAGAAAAAAUUUCAAGAAAGUUGGCACAAGUGGGCCCUGUUUUAUAGUGUUUGUACAUACAUGCUGUUGAAUCAUAUUAUUACUUAUUAUUACGAAAUUGUACAAUAUUGGUGAAGUGAUUGAUCCAGAUGAAUUUACUAAUCUUGUCGGUGGUUUCAUUGAUGGGUUUUGCUCAUGGAGCUCCGGUGAAGAUUCCCCUUUUCUUUUGGUUCUGGAACUGAAAAUACUGAAACACUUCAUCAUCGGGAAGAAACCAAGAACCCUAAACGGUGAAGUGAGAAAACUGGGGUGAAAUUAGGGGAUAUCAGAGAGAUUAAUUAGCAACGGAGACAGGUGGGGAAGAUUAUAGAAUGGUGUGGCUUCUUUGUAUGUUGAGAACAAACAGGUGGAUGAUGCUUCUAGAUUAUUCCGGAAGAUUUCUAGCAUACAAAAGAGCACCAUUACAUGUUUAAUAGGAACUGAGUAUUGAAUUUAUAGUAACUAACAGAUUAAAACAAGUGCAGUUGUAACAAGAAUCAUCAUGAUUUUCCUUCAUACAGCUUCACGAUUAUUGUAGUCAUCUUUCACAGGUGCUAGUAACGAGCUGAUACCUAAAAUUAACAAACUUUAAGACAAACAUAAAGUUGCAAAAUAGAGAUGGAACUGGAACCAGAAAUAUUCACAUUGUUUUCUGUGUCAAUAAAGAGAAAAAAGCAACUAACUUACUAACCUUCAUAAUAUUCAUUCCAUCAUUCAAAAUUUUAAGCUUCUUAUUCAGCAAACCACCAACUUGUUCAAGAUCUUUUGGGCUUCAUCUUUCUAGAAAAGUUCUUCCUGUAAAGAAACAUUUCAUCCUGCCACCCCACCACAUGAACAUUAAUCACUAAAACUAUAUAAAAAUGAAUUUGUUACUUUCUUUCAGAGUGAUCAAAAUUACCUUGCAAUAGAAGAAGUUGACUAGUUAUAUUUAUAUACAUCACAGAUAGCUAAAUCACAGCCCUGUUCAUGACAAGUAACAAAAAAGGGACAUUUGUUUUACAUGUUAAAAAGAAAAACUCAAUAUUUGUGAAUUAUUUAAGGAAAUUAGAAGGGAUUGAAGCAAAUCUCACAUGUUCCCAAUUCUUUAACUCCUAAAGGCAACCUCUCUCCAUUGGAGACCUGAGAAUGAAAGAAGGAAAGAAAUUACAGUCAUUUUGAAAGAAAUUUGAAUACAAGAAAAAACCCUUUUUUAUUUUAUUUUUGAAUAGACAAAAAAGCAUAUGGACACAAUUCUCAAAAAAGAAAUAAAUAAAUAAAUGCACGACUCACUUUGAUGUUGUACAAGGGAUGCAUUUUAUUUAACAUGCAUUCUUCCACCAUCCUCCUUACUUGUUUCAAUCGUUUAAAUGAACCCAUUGAAGCCACUGAGUUUCCCUGUGCAUCAACAAAUAGAAAUAAAUUAGGUUUCUAAGUUUUCUUUUUUAACCCAACAAGUUAUGCUUAUAGGUACCUGAACAAUGAAAUACCAACAUUUAAGGGCAUAUGGGUAUUUCUUGAUAGACUUCUAAGUAAAACAAUUUAUUCCAGUUCCUGUGCAAUAGAAGACACACAUGCAUAGUCUAAUGCCCUGGAAGUAUGUAUAGUGAUAGUCUUCUUCUAUAGAGAGACUGGUAGAAAAUUCAACUACUUGCUCAAAAAAAAAAAGAAGAAAGAAGAAAACAUUCACCUAAAUGAAAAUGAAUAACAAACUAACAUAAGAACUCCCAUAAAAUUCAAACCUUGAUCAGCAUGUAUUCUAAAACAGGAGGAAACAAAUUGUAAAGAUAAAAAGUUGAACCCAAAACAGUGAAAUAUGUAAGUGUUAAAAGUGAAAUAUGUAAGGAUAAAAAGUUGAACCCAAAAAGGUGAAAUAUGUAAAUGCUAAAAUACAGACAUGAAAACAAGUUAGCUUUCUAAUUUAAGAGUAACGAUUUAUUUACACUUGUGACAAAUUUAGGGUUAAUAAAAGCGGACUAAUUGAGACAAAAUAGUAUAUCACUAUGUGUGGCUAAUGAAAUUAAUCUUAAAGAUGACAAAUGUAUUGUAUAUCAACCCAAUAGAAAAAACAUAAUCAACAAAAACUUCAACCAUAUUGUUGAUCUCGACUCAUUCACCCAUGGAAGAGUAAGGUCUACAUUGAUCCCAAUUACAAUUGGUACUAAGCUUAUCCAGAAACAGAAAGCUAGAUAAAACAAGUGAUAUUGCAAAACUGAACAGAAAAGUAAAUUCAAGGAGAAGAGGAAACCUUGCUGGGCUUAGAAGCCCUAAUUUGAAAAACACUGAGAGACCAAAGUCGGUAGCUUUCAAUAGUGAGUCUUCAUCGGUACUCAAGAACAAAAAGCUCUAGGUUUUAAGUGUCAAUGGAACACUCCCAUCAUAUGACAAUCAUCCACCACCGUCACGAUCUGUCGGCAGAGGCCAGCUGCCGCAUGCUCUGAAUGUUGGCCUGUUUGGAGUGGCUAAAGGUAUGGCAUCAUUAAGAAGCAUGGAGAUCAUAUCAGAUGUUGUUGGGCUAUCGACUGCACUCUCUUGUACACAUAGAAGGGCAACAUGAACAACCCUCAAGAAUUGUUGUACAACAAAAGUAUUUCCCAAUGUAGGAUCCUUCAAUUCCAAUGUAUCCCCUUGUUGCCAUAACUCCCAUGUCUAUAUCAUUAAGAGAAUAUUAUCAAUAUAUUUUUUUUACUCUUUACCAGUAAGUAUAUUAUGUAUAAGAUGUUAAAUGGUGAAUUUUGCUAUUCUUACAUAUCCAAUAUGAUUGAAAGUACGGCCAAGAUGACCGAAACUGCUAUUUCUUCUUCCACUGACGAUUUCCAAGAUCAAGACUCCAAAGCGGAAGAUAUCAGACUUGAUAGAGAAAGUCCCUUCCAUUGCAUACUCAGGAGACAUAUAAACACUGAUACAACAUGAUCGAUAUGGCAUUUCAAUAAAUUAACCUUCGAAACACAUAACUUAAUUUUAAUUUUGAUAUUCUAAGUUUGUAACUAAGACAACUUACUAUGUUCCUACCACCCUGUUAGUAAUUUCCGCGGUCUCAUUCUGCUUGAAUAUUCUUGCCAUACCAAAAUCAGAAAUCUUGGUGUUCAUACUCUCAUCAAAAAGAAUGUUGCUAGCUUUUAGAUCUCAAUGAAUAACUCUCUUUCGUGAGUACUUAUGCAUGUAUAACAACCCUUGAACAAUUCCUUCAAUUAUGUCGAAUCGUUUACGCCAAUCCAACUUUGUCUUUCCGUUUUCAUCUGCUAGACAUCAAAAGAAAAGAUUCAUUUAUGAAUAUAACGAUUAAAACCAUUAUAUACAUUUAUGUUACAAACACUUCAUAUCAAAGAGGAAGAAAUCUAAGCUUUUGUUGGGCAUAUAUUCAUAUAUUAACAUCUUUUCUUCACUGUGAAUGCAACACCUAAGAACUCGAACAAGAUUUGUAUGAUGGAGUUUAGCAAUGAGUACUAGUUCAUUCUUGAAUUCCACGAGCCCUUGCGUCGAUGUUCUCGAAAGCCUUUUGAUUGCAAUUUCUCGUCCACCACGUAGUCUUCCCUAUUUUUAUAAUUUCAUGAUAUCUCUUUUUUUCAGAUUAGAGUUUCAAAUGUAAAAACAUAACAAGUGCAUAAAAUUAGUUUAAAGUAACAUAGUCUUGUAAAUAGGUCCAAAACCACCUUGUCUGCACUUAUUCUCAAUUCACUGAGAAAUCAUCAACGAUAGCCAUGAUAGAGGCAAUGCUAAAUAAUAACAAGUCAUUUCCUUUCCCACCAUUGUUUUCAAGCUGAUUUAUAUCCUUGAAGCUUUCAGAAACUAUUAACUCCAGGAAAUAUCAAUCUCUAUUCUGUCUCUCAUAUUCUACAAGCAGAAUCAAUGACUUAACAAAAUAUACAACUAUAUCGUACAAACAAGAGCUAGAAUUUUUAUCAUUGCUAAAUUAAUACCUUUCCUUUUACUCUUUCUCUUCUUUAUAUACCAUAAUAUGCCAAAACGUAUGAUUAACAAAGGAAUGACAACGCCCAUUAGUAUCCAUACCCAAUUCUUGCUCUUUUCUGUUUUGUUACCUGCAUAUUGACUUGUUUAGUGUAACGUCUGGUUUCCUGGUAUGCGCUUAAUUAAGUAUUUAUAUAUUUAUUUUGAAAGAAGGACUCGACGAGUUGGUAGCCCUGACUUGUCUAGUAGAAGGUAGUUUGUAUACGGGGGUUUUAGUGAGCUACUCGACGAGUAGGAUAGGCUAGAUGAAACCCUAAUCUUUAAGAUUUGCACCCUAUUUAAGCAUCAUAUCUGGCCUCCAUUCUAGCCUCGAUCACCUCCAAAACCCUAACUUCGAAACCCUAAUCAUUCAUAAGUAAUAUUGAACUAUUUCUUGCCAUUGUGAGUGUUAUCUGUGCCUUUUGAAGCUUGUGGAAGAAGUAGAAGAGAGAAGACUCAAGAGGGAAGGAGUAGAUCCAGGAACUACACUCUAUUUGCAACAUUUUAUGGUAAUCAAGUUUCCAACUUGAUCAUUCUUCUCUUAGAUCUAUGUGUUUCCAUCAUAUGAAAGUUUUGGUUCAAGAAUUUUGGUCCUUGGAGUUGGGACGUCCCAAGUGGCUCAUACUUCAGAUCUAGGAUCUAGGGAGGAUUCCAUGGCACAAAGGUGCAAACUUUAUGACCAUGGAAGCCCCAUACAAGCAUAUGAGCAGGUUUAUGGGCUUUUUAGCCCUAAAAGACUAUGCAUGGAAGGAAAGCUCGAAACUUUAUGGGUCCAAAAGAUGUUAAAACCAUAGAUCUAGGUUUAUAUGCGUGGAUUUGAUACUCUAUGACCUUUUGGACAAGAUCCAUGUCUUAUAGGAAUUAGGGUUUUGUCUAAACCCUUUUAGAAGAGUUAUGGAUGGGUAAAGUUCGAAACUUUACCCUUAGAAAGGCCUUUCGAGUAGGUAAACAAACUAAGAACCUUGGAUCUAGAAGAUAGAGGCUUAAUCUGUUAAGUAGGCCAAACAGAAAGAAGGACUCAACGAGUCCAUAAGGGAACUCGACAAGUCUGUAAAAGGGCUCGAAGAGUGGAUGAGCCAAGUCGCGACUGAACAGCUCAAUAGAACUCAGCGAGUUGGUCAACCCAGAAUGUUGACUUUGACCGGAGUGUUGACUUUAAAUAGGGGUAAAAUGGUCAUUUUACUCCAUGCCUAUGAAUGAAGAGUUAAUAGUUUUUGAUUAAGUGUUAUUAUGGAAUUUAUAGUCGGAGAGUCGCCGGAGCAGCAGACAGGGAUUCCUCACUCAUGUUUUCAGCAGUCAGUCAUACGAGGUGAGUUCCCUUUCAGUAGGAACGGGUCUAAGGCACCAAGGCCGACCCGUAUAUGUGAUAUGUUAGUAGAUAAGUAUGGAUGGGGCCCGAUCUCGUAGCAGUCUAGUGUGGGCGGGGCCCGGUUCUCAUAGUAUUAUUCGAGUAUAGAUAUGUGAUUGUUCGGUAGAUAUACUUGUUGUCUGUGUGAUACUUGUAUGCAUGUUAGUAGCGGAGUGUGGGCGGGGCCCGAAUCUCUGAGACAGCAGAGUGUGGGCGGGGCCCAUAUGUACUAGUUGCAUGAUAUUUGUAUGAUAUGUGGUAGUUUGGGGAGACUCACUAAGCUUUAUGCUUAUAAUUUUCAAUUUUGGUUUCAGGUACUUCCGGUAGUAAGGGGAAGGACUCGGGUUGAUUGCAUGUCACACACCACAGUUCCAGCCUGGGAUGUUUAGACUCUGAUAUUUUUCUCAUAUGAUUUUGAUAUAGUACUUGUCACGAUGUUUUUUUCAGAUACAUGAUACUGGAUUUUCUUUAUGACUAUGGAUGAUUUAUGGUUUUAUUAAUGAUUUUAAAACGAAAUUUUUGGUAUAUAUUUUUGGGAUGUUUCAUUCAGAUUCUAAAACGAUCAAAAGGUAGCUAAAAAAUCAUUGAAAAUUAACAUUAUUACCUGUAUUUGGAGUGAUUGGAUUUUGGUUGAUCACAUACUUUAAAGUGGAUAUAACUAAAAGUAUGAAUCAUCCUAUAAUUUUACAUUUAGAAAAAAUUAGACUUAUAGGAGAAGAUAUUACAAAAUCAAAAGUUAAAUAUAUUUGUAAAUUUAAAUUAAAAAAUCUUGAUAUUAUAAUAAGAAAAGCAAAUGUAGAAUAUAUUUCUUUAGAUAAAGAAGAAUUUAAAAAAUAAAUACUAGAAAUGAUAGAACAUGGAUUAAUUAGGAAAUCGAAAAGUCCACAUAGAUCAACAACUUUUAUAAUAAGAAAUCAUUCUGAAAUAAAAAGAGGAAAAGCUCGAAUAGUUUAUGUAACGCCCGGGUUUCAGGGCUAAGCAUUUUUGUCAAUGUAAUAGUCUAGGUCAACUCUUGUAACUCUUUUUGAAGUAAUAAAGAUGAAAUAUUUGAGUAUUAUGUGAAUUAUAUGUGUUUAUUUGUUAAUUAUAAAUGUAUAAUUAAUAAAGAAUAAAAAUGAGCGUCAAAAUUAAAGUGUGAGAUAAUCCCGAUAUCUCUAUAUAAAGUUGUAGAAUAUGUCUCAAGGUUUCCGUGCAUAUAAGGAACGCCGAAAUCCGAGUUAUAACGAAGAAGUUAUGACCCGUCGAAGUUUCACGACAGAACCGACACGAUACCGGGAAGCGUGAAUAGUGAAUUUACGAUAGAGCGAGAUUUAGCCUUAGUGAUCUAAACGAAAGUCGUAGAAUAUGUUAAACUAAGAACAUCGAUAAAAAGAACGCCCAAAUCUGACUUCGUAUGAAGAAGUUAUGAGAUUUUAAACAGACCAAUCAUGUCCCGGCUUGUUAAAAAUAUAACUUUAAAAAUAAAGUCAAAAUUAGCCGACGGAGUCUAAACGAAAGUUGUAGAGUACGUCUUCACCUACUCGUGGAUAUAAAGAACGUCAAAAACGGAGUUCGUAUGAACGAGUUACAAAUUAUAAUAGCAUAUUUACGUAUUAAAAUAAAGUAUAAAUCAUGUAUACGUACACAUAUAUAUACAUAUGUAUAUAUCAUUAGAAAGGUAUCGACGAUGCGGUCAUUAUAAGACUAAUGUUGAGUUCUUUCGACAUUAGUUUAGUACAAAUAUCAUUAAAUCCAUUUAUAAUAGUAUUAUAGAGGGGUGUUUAGUUGUUUAUAUAACUAAAAGGUCAUUAAGUAAUUAUGGAGGGUAGUUUUUGAAAAUUCAAUUAGUAUAAAUAAGAGCCUUGGGCUCUCAUAUUUCUUGCACCAUUCUCUUGAUUCAAGAGUCUUUCUCUCCUUAUCCCCCGAGCAUUUCGGUCCCUCGUGAUUCGACUUCUCUUUCUGUAGCUUAGUAUAGUAAGGUGAGCGCUGAAGCGCUGCACGAAUCUUUCUUAGAAAGAUUCAGCGACGAAGUUCUGCCCCUGCAGAGCCCGACUCCUAGCUAAAACCCCCUUGUAAGUAAGUUAUGCUUACCUUAUUUUAAUAUAGCUUAUAUUUAAAAUUAGUAUUGUUAUUAUGAACUUAUAAUAAAUAUUUGAGCUAUUAUUAUAACUUAUAUAAGUGUCGUUAUAAUAUUUUUUUUAACUACUCGCGGUACGGGGAAUCUGGUUUAAAGGGCCGCAUAGGGUUGUUGGAUUUCAGAAGUGCUAUAUGCCAAAAUGGUCCUGCCCUCCGGUGUUUUAUGUCUGGCCCCUGUCUGUACAUAGUGGUUGGAAAAUAUUGUUUAACGCUUAUAUAAUAAUAAUAAUACUAAGACUAAUAGUUGGUCACGGUAAAUAUUAGACUAAAAUUUAGCGAUAAUAAUGCUAGGUUUCGUCGAAGGAAAAUAGAAUCGUUAGAAGCAAGCGCUGCCCGAUUUUGGAAUCAUCACCUUAACAAGUGAGUGCAUAGUUACUUUCAACUUACACAUAGAUAUGAAGUAUUUUAUAUAAAUUACGUGCUAUGUGUGCAUAUUAUCUGAAUACUUGCUAUCUAUGCUAGAUGAACGUUGUUAUACAUGUUUUCAAUGAUUUAAACUGUAUAUGUAUUUUAUAUCUACGAAAAUGUUGGGGUAAAACAUGGGUAGAUGCAAUAGGUGAUGUGUGAUAAAAUGAUGAGAGGCCUCGAUGUUGAUGUUGUUGAUUCUGUCAUCUAGCGGAGUAUGGAUGACGACCACGGACUCUUCUAGACAGUCCAGUGGAACACUAGCAGGCUCGCAACCUGUAGGUGUUUGUGAACGAUAUGUUCACCGGUGUACUCCAUCCCCCACAUGGUUGCCUUUAGGACAUUUAUUGCUGAGGAAUCCCCUUAGCAGUAGUGUCCGUCCCGAUGAUGAUCCUUAGGCUAGGUCCCUUAUGAUAGGUGUUUAGGGACGUAAAGUGAGGAUAACGGGAACGGGUAAUCGGGUUAUUGUUGAUCGAUGAAAUUAAUAAACUUAUUUAUUGUGGGUUGAAAACCCUAUGUGCUCACCAGGCUCCCAAGCCUGACCCACUCAGUUUUAUGUAUUACAGGUAGUGGCGCAUGAGCAUAGGUGUGAUGUUUUGGACGAGGGAUUACGGAUAUAGGCCUGUAGAUAUGAAAUAAUGUAGUAAGGCUUAUAUUGUACUGUUUAUGCUUUUGAUCUGUACGAACAUGACAUCCCGAGUCUUUUAAUGAAAUACAUUUCUAUGGAAAUGCUUUUGAUAAAUCUUUAUCAUAUUUUUGUUUUGGGACAAAUUCCGCAACACUUUCAUUUAAAAUGUAACUCUGAUUUUUAAACAAAGCAUAAACAAACCGGUCUUUUCUGGCCGUGAUUUUGGGGAUGUCACAGUUGGUAUCAGAGCAUUAGUUUAAGCGAACUAGGAAUUUGUAGGAUUUCUAGACUUAAACUUAGAAUGCUAAGCGAUGAUUGUGAGGUGUGAGCACUAGCUUAUUUUAGGAAUUGUGCCUAAAAUGCUUUUAUGUGCUAAAUGCUUUGUGCAUAAUAUGCUGUUAAUUGUUCGGAUCUAUGGUCUGUUGCCGACCGGAUCUGGAAACCUUAUGUGUUUAGGAUUCUAAACGUACGACUACGAUAUUAGAACUAGCAUGUAAACGUUUCGNNNNNNNNNNNNNNNNNNNNNNNNNNNNNNNNNNNNNNNNNNNNNNNNNNNNNNNNNNNNNNNNNNNNNNNNNNNNNNNNNNNNNNNNNNNNNNNNNNNNNNNNNNNNNNNNNNNNNNNNNNNNNNNNNNNNNNNNNNNNNNNNNNNNNNNNNNNNNNNNNNNNNNNNNNNNNNNNNNNNNNNNNNNNNNNNNNNNNNNNNNNNNNNNNNNNNNNNNNNNNNNNNNNNNNNNNNNNNNNNNNNNNNNNNNNNNNNNNNNNNNNNNNNNNNNNNNNNNNNNNNNNNNNNNNNNNNNNNNNNNNNNNNNNNNNNNNNNNNNNNNNNNNNNNNNNNNNNNNNNNNNNNNNNNNNNNNNNNNNNNNNNNNNNNNNNNNNNNNNNNNNNNNNNNNNNNNNNNNNNNNNNNNNNNNNNNNNNNNNNNNNNNNNNNNNNNNNNNNNNNNNNNNNNNNNNNNNNNNNNNNNNNNNNNNNNNNNNNNNNNNNNNNNNNNNNNNNNNNNNNNNNNNNNNNNNNNNNNNNNNNNNNNNNNNNNNNNNNNNNNNNNNNNNNNNNNNNNNNNNNNNNNNNNNNNNNNNNNNNNNNNNNNNNNNNNNNNNNNNNNNNNNNNNNNNNNNNNNNNNNNNNNNNNNNNNNNNNNNNNNNNNNNNNNNNNNNNNNNNNNNNNNNNNNNNNNNNNNNNNNNNNNNNNNNNNNNNNNNNNNNNNNNNNNNNNNNNNNNNNNNNNNNNNNNNNNNNNNNNNNNNNNNNNNNNNNNNNNNNNNNNNNNNNNNNNNNNNNNNNNNNNNNNNNNNNNNNNNNNNNNNNNNNNNNNNNNNNNNNNNNNNNNNNNNNNNNNNNNNNNNNNNNNNNNNNNNNNNNNNNNNNNNNNNNNNNNNNNNNNNNNNNNNNNNNNNNNNNNNNNNNNNNNNNNNNNNNNNNNNNNNNNNNNNNNNNNNNNNNNNNNNNNNNNNNNNNNNNNNNNNNNNNNNNNNNNNNNNNNNNNNNNNNNNNNNNNNNNNNNNNNNNNNNNNNNNNNNNNNNNNNNNNNNNNNNNNNNNNNNNNNNNNNNNNNNNNNNNNNNNNNNNNNNNNNNNNNNNNNNNNNNNNNNNNNNNNNNNNNNNNNNNNNNNNNNNNNNNNNNNNNNNNNNNNNNNNNNNNNNNNNNNNNNNNNNNNNNNNNNNNNNNNNNNNNNNNNNNNNNNNNNNNNNNNNNNNNNNNNNNNNNNNNNNNNNNNNNNNNNNNNNNNNNNNNNNNNNNNNNNNNNNNNNNNNNNNNNNNNNNNNNNNNNNNNNNNNNNNNNNNNNNNNNNNNNNNNNNNNNNNNNNNNNNNNNNNNNNNNNNNNNNNNNNNNNNNNNNNNNNNNNNNNNNNNNNNNNNNNNNNNNNNNNNNNNNNNNNNNNNNNNNNNNNNNNNNNNNNNNNNNNNNNNNNNNNNNNNNNNNNNNNNNNNNNNNNNNNNNNNNNNNNNNNNNNNNNNNNNNNNNNNNNNNNNNNNNNNNNNNNNNNNNNNNNNNNNNNNNNNNNNNNNNNNNNNNNNNNNNNNNNNNNNNNNNNNNNNNNNNNNNNNNNNNNNNNNNNNNNNNNNNNNNNNNNNNNNNNNNNNNNNNNNNNNNNNNNNNNNNNNNNNNNNNNNNNNNNNNNNNNNNNNNNNNNNNNNNNNNNNNNNNNNNNNNNNNNNNNNNNNNNNNNNNNNNNNNNNNNNNNNNNNUAUAUAUAUAUAUUCAAAAAAUUUAGACUUCCCAGAAAAAUUUGAAAAUCUAAAAUAGAUACAAGCUUUUUUGGGCUUGGUUAAUUAUGCACGAAAAUUUAUUCCUAAUCUUUCAAAAGUUAGUUGGUCCAUUAUAUAGUAAAACAACAACUAAAAUGGACAAAGACAUUUCAGCCAAGACGAUAUUAAAUUAGUUAAAGUAAUUAAAGAAGCAGUUAAAAAUAUUAAAUCAUUAGAAUUGCCAUUAGUCACUGAUUACAUAAUAAUAGAAGUUGAUGGAUGCAAAAAAGGAUGGGCAACCGUUAUCCUUUGUAAAUCUGAUAAAUAUAGCCCAAAGGAUACAAAAAAGAUAUGCUCAUAUGCUAGUGGAAGUUUUAAUAAGAUAGGAAUGAAUUGGACUUCUAUAGACUAUGAGAUACAAGCUUUAAUAAAUGCUUUAGAAAAAUUUAAAUUAUUCUUACAUAAAGAAUUUAUAGUUAUAACAGAUUGUGAAGUUAUAGUUCAUUUUAUUAAAAAUGAUCAAAGUAAGAAAAUAAAUAGGACAUGGUUGAUAAAUUUAAAAAAUACAAUACUAGGAAGUGGAUAUAAAAUAAAAUUCCAACACAUAAAGGGAGAAAAUAAUGGAAUAGCUGAUACGCUAUCCAGAAAAGAAAUAUUAACAGAUUAUUUUCUAUAGAUGAGUAGUCAAAACAAAGGAAAGUACAUAUUAAUACAGCCUACACAACAAAAUAGGAGUUCCUCUUCCGUGAGCAUUUCUUCAGAAGAAGAAAGAAAUACAACAUCAACAGAAAAAUUGAUGGAUUCAGCAAUAAAAAUUGAAUAUCAACACAAACCCAUACAACAACACUCAAUUCCUUAUAUGGGAAUAGCGAGUACUACACAUAAUCAUAACCUCUUGCAAGGAUCUAGACCACAAAUGGAUAUUUCUCAAAAUAUUCAACAUUCAUAUUGUUGGACAGGAUCUUCAAAAAACAUACAAUAUACACAGAACAGAGAAGUUAUUAUAGCAUUUGGUAAUUGCACUUUACCAAUUUGCUUUGAUGAGCGCAAAAAGUUUAGGCACAUGAUAGGAGUAAACUUGAUAGAAGACCAACAAUAUUUGCUAAAUAACUUAUGACAUAUUCAGACAGUUCCAUAGGCUUCAUCAUUUAAAGUUCAAAUUCUUAAUGCUUUAAGUUUUUAUUUUCAUAAACAGUCACCAAUGACUCCUGAGAAACAAACAAAAAAAUUCACACAAUAUGUUAUGAUCAGGGGCACAAAAGUUGGAAUUUUCAAUAAUUGGGCAACAGUUUUAAAAUAUAUAUAGUGUCAAAAUCCACUUUACAAGGGACGUUGUAGCUUCCAAGAAGCUAUGAAUAUAGCUCGAGAACAUUUUGGAUUAAACAACUUAUAAAUAAAAUAGAAAAUCACUUAUUACAAUUUGAGCCUAAAAUAAAUAUGUUAGAAUUUUUUUACAGAUAGUUAAAACAAUAGUUGAAAGUUAAAACUGGAAAACUCUAAAGAAUAUAUUAAAGCUUUAGAAGUCGUUAAAAAAUAUGAACCAGAAAAUAAUAACGAAGAAGUUACAGGAUUUACUAGAUAUUCGGGCACAUGAAAAAUGAUAAAACAUAUCCUAUAGACUGUGAGAUACAAGCUUUAAUAAAUGUUUUAGAAAAAUUUAAAAUAUUCUUACAUAAAGAACUUACAGUUAGAACAUAUUGUGAAGCUAUAGCCUGUUUUAUUAAAAAUGAUCAAAGUAAGAAAAUAGAUAGGACAUGGUGGAUAAAUUUACAAAAUAUAAUAUAAGGAAGUGGAUAUAAAAUAAAUUUUGAACACAUAAAUGGAGAAAAUAAUGGAAUAGCUGAUAUGCUAUUCAGAAAUAUUAACAAAUUAUUUUCUAUAGAUGGCUAGUCAAAACAAAGGAAAUAACAAAUUAGUACAACAUACACAACAAAAGAGGAGUUCCUCUUCCAUGUGCAUUUCUUCAAAAGAAAUACAUCAACAUAAAAAUUGAUCGAUUCAGAAGUAAAAACAAAAUAUCCACACAAACCCAUACAAAAGCACUAAUUCUUUAUACGGGAAUAGCGAGUACUACACAUAAUCAUAACCUCUUGCAAGGAUUUAGACCGCAAAUGGACAUUUCCCAAAAUAUUCAACAUUCAUAUUAUUGGACAGGAUCUUCAAAAAAUAUACAAUAUACACAUAACAGAGAAGCUGCUAUAGCAUUUGGUAAUUGCACCUUACCAAUUUGCUUUGAUGAACGCAAAAAGUUUAGGCCCACGAUAGAAGUAAACUCGACAAAAGACCAACAUUGUUUGCUAGAUAACUUAUGGCAUAUUCAGACAGUUCCACAUGCUUCAUCAUUAAAAUUCAAAUUCUUAAUACUUUAAGUUUUUUAUUUUCAUAAACAGUCACCAAUGACCCCUGAGAAACAAACGAAAAAAAUUCACAUCCUAUGUUAUCAUCGAGGGCACAAAAGUUGGAAUUUUUAAUAAUUUGGUAACAAUCUUAAAAUAUAUACAAUGUGAAAAUCCCCUUUAUAAGGGAUGUUGUAGCUGCUAGGAAGCUAUGAAUAUGGCUCGAGAACAUUUUGGGUUAAAAGAUCACAUUUGUGAAAAAUUCUUUUGUCGUAUAGAAUUAUUGAUUCAUGCUUUUAAGAUUGUGUCGUCGUUUCACACUUUAUGUAAUAAUCAUGUUAUUUAGGAUAAAAUAUUAAGUCCGAUAUUGUGUUAGUAUGAGAGUGUAAUUGUUACGCUACCCUUUGCAUAUAUAAAGGGUUAGAACCUAUUGUAAAAUCAUCGAGAAUUCAUAAUAAAAAUAUUGUUAUCAAAUUUCCUCAUGUCUCUCUAAACAAUCUCUUUCUGAUUUUCUUCGCCUAUCUCUUACAUUCCAAGUUCCUUUCAUAUACUUAUCCCUCAUAAAAAAAUAAAUAAUAAUAAAAUAAAUUAAUUAAUUAAUUUAAAAUAAAAACCUCAAAAGUUGCUUUUGCACAUAGCUUCUCCUAGCUUUGUAGGUGUACUCUUCUUUAAUAUUUAAAUCUUGUUCAUAUUUUGUUUAUGGUUUAACGGUAGACCCGGAAAAAACCCAUAUNGAUUUUUCAGUAAAAACCUCCAAUGUCGCCGCUAAUACCUUUGUACAUCCUACAAAAUUAAAUUAUCAUAUACAAAUUACAAUAGAAAUAGUAUUUUACAAAGAAUGAUAUACUAUUCGUACAAGAGUAGCUACACUCAUAAACUAUCGACCCUCUACAACAGUGAUUGUCAUAUUGUUUAUAGAGCAAUCUUUUGCUUUAUUUUCAUCCGAAGUUGACUUCAACUCUGAUUCCAUUCUGGCAGUGAUGAUGAAUGCUGGCCUAUUUGGAGUGGCUAACGGUAUGGCAUCAUUAAGAAGCAUGGAGAUCAUAUCAGAUGUUGUUGGCCUAUCGACUGCACUCUCUUGUACACAUAGAAGGGCAACAUGAACAGCCCUCAAGAAUUGUUGUACAACAAAAGUAUUUCCCAAUGUAGGAUCCUUCAAUUCCAAUGUAUCCCCUUGUUGCCAUAACUCCCAUGCCUAAAUCAUUAGAAGAUGAUUAUUAACAUAAUGUCUUUUUUUUACUCUUUACCAACAAGUAUAAGAUGUUAAAUGGUGAAAUUGACUACACUUACAUAUCCAAUAAGAUUGAAAGUCCGGUCAAGAUAAACAAAGCUGCUAUUUCUUCUUCCACUGACGAUUUCCAAGAUCAAGACUCCAAAGCUGAAGAUAUCAGACUUGAUAGAGAAAGUCCCUUCCAUUGCAUACUCAGGAGAUAUAUAGCCACUGAUACAACACGAUUGAUACAACAUUUCAAUGUAUUGAUCAUGAAAGCAUAUAAUUCAAUGGUAAUUUUGAUAUUGUAAGUUUGUAACUAAGACAACUUACUAUGUUGCAACCACCCUGUUAGUGAUUGCCUCGGUCUCAUUCUGCUUGAAUAUCCUUACCAUACCAAAAUCAGAAAUCUUGGGGUUCAUACUUUCAUCUAAAAGAAUGUUGCUAGCUUUUAGAUCUCGAUGAAUAACUCUCAUUCGUGAGUACUUAUGCAGGUAUAACAACGCUUGAGCAAUUCCUUCAAUUAUGUCGAAUCGUUUAUGCCAAUCCAACUCUGCCUUUCUAGUUUCAUCUACAAGACAAUGAAAGGAAAGAGUCUAAUGAAUAGAAUAUCACAAGUAAAACCGUUGUAUAGACUUAUGUUAAAAAUGAUAAGUACCAAAGAGAAAGAAAUCUAAGCUUUUGUUAGGCAUAUAUUCGUAUAUUAACAUCUUUUCUUCACCAUGAAUGCAACAACCAAGAACCCGAACAAGAUUUGUAUGCUGGAGUUUAGCAAUGAGUACUAGUUCAUUCUUGAAUUCCACAAGCCCUUGCCCUGAUGUUCUUGAAAGCCUUUUGAUUGCAAUUUCUCGUCCAUCACUUAGUCUUCCCUGUUUUUUAUAAUUUCAUGAUAUCUCUUUUUGUUAGAUUAGAGGUACAAAUGCAAAAACAUAACACAUGCAUAAAAUUAGUUUAAAGUAACAUAACCUUGUAAACAGGUCCAAAACCACCUUGUCCGAGCUUAUUCUCAACUGAGAAAUCAUCGGUGGCAGCCAUGAUAGAGGCAAUGCUAAAUAAAAACAAGUCAUUUCCUUUCCCACCAUUGUUUUCAAGCUGAUGUAUAUCCUUGAAGCUUUCAGAAGCUGUCAACUCCAGGAAAUACUCAUCUCUCUUUCGUUUCUCAUUUUCUAUGAUCAGUAUCAAUGAAUUAACAAAAUAGGCAACUAUAUCGUACAAACAGAAGCUAGAAUUAUCAUCAUUGCUAAUUUUAUACCUUUCUAUUUACGCUUUCUCUUCUUUAUAUACCAUAAAAUGCCAAAACAUAGGAAAAAGAGAGGAAUGACAACGCCAAUUAGUAUCCAUACCCAAUUCUUGCUCUUUUCUGUUUUGUUACCUGCAUAUUGACUUGUUUAGAUUCUAAAAUGAUCAAAAGGCAGCUAAAAAAUCAUUGGAAAUUAACAUUAUCACCUGUAUUUGGAGUGAUUGGAUUUUGGUUGAUCACAUAGUUUAAAGUAGAGUUAUCACGAGGAUUAACCAAAAAGUUAUUGCUUCCAGUCCAAAUAACACAGCCAGUUCCAUUAAUGUUACUACUAUUAAACCCUACACAAGUGCAAUCAUUCCAACACUUAACAAAACAAUCACUAAUACUUAAACUCGAGUUGUCAUCAAUAGCACUUCUUGUCAUAUCCUGAGCAAAAUGUCCAUACUUUUCACUAAACCUAUCACUCUCUCUUCUACACUGAGGCAAACUCCACUCUACACAACCAUUACCAGAAUCAUACCCAUAACAGAAGCGUUAAUAUCAUUUAAAUUUGUCAUUUGACACUUUAAAGUUAAAAAAAGUCUGAAAUUUCUUGAAUUAAACAAUUAGCAAAUAGUAUAUGACUAAUUUCCAAUCAAGAACAAUUCCACCAAACAUACAAACACCUAUGUAGAGAAAACGUUAUAAUUGCAUUCUCAAGAAAAUAACAUUAGAAUUGCCAACUUCCCAUAAGUAUCUCUAUAGAAAUUGUGAGUUUGUGAUUUAUUCUAGUCAUCCUAACAAAAGUGAGAAAUUUAUAUAUGCCCCAAUCAAGAAAAGAAUAGUUAGAAGUGUAAUUUAAUUUCUUAUUUUGUUUCCUUUAACAAAGGAAGAGUCUAGACUUUCUACCAAGGUUAUCAAAAUCAUAAUUUUUAUUUUACCUAGGAUAUCCUAGGUAUAAUAAACAAGUCGGAUUGUAUACGGAUCAUAUCUUAUCUGGGGUAAAAUUGCAAGUAAGAUCAUAGAAUCGGGAUUGGAUCCCACUUCCCUUGAUUUUUUAUUUUCUUUUUAAAAGAAAAAAAAAUCAAAAACCAUCAAAAAAAUGAAAAAAGAGAUUUUACUACAUUACAACUUUUACUCUUUAGGGGUUCCAUUUACCUUUUUUUUUGUUGCGAAUAAUAUUUUGAAGUUUUUAUAUGUUUUGAAUGGAAAACUUAAUGUUGGAGAUAUUUUUCAUGUUUUGAAUUUAUAAUUAAGUUAAAAUUGUGUUUUUUAUUGGAUCUUAAGAUCCGGUUCCCAAUCCUGAUCUUGUAUAUAAACCCAAAAACAAUCAUACAUAAAAUCCCGAUCUUGACAACUUUGAUUUCUAUAUCAUCAUUUAACAUAUAAUGUAGUGUCAUCUCUUUAAAUGUACCAUAUACCUCACAUGUUCUCAGGUCAACCAAAUGAAACGGGGAGUUGAUAACAUGCACAAAAGUAAAAAUUACUUUCGCUUCAGAUAUUUUUAACAAACCCUUACAGUUAAAUCAAGGGUUAUUGUUGUAAAAACCCUCAAAUUUACACAAAAUAGUUGGUUAUGCCCAAAGUACAAAUUUAUGUUCAUUAAUGCCUAACAUUUGAGCAAAAUUUACCACUUAUGGCUUUUUAUCAGGUUAACACCAGGUAGCCGGUCAUCUACUCACUUGAUCCUUCUUAACAAAAUCUUUGUCGCUGCUCACCACCACCGACGCCAGGCGUCGUCACCACCACCACCUUCAGGCUUGUCUCCGGCAACAUCCCCUCCCAUCUCCAACGGUGUCUUCAACACCCUCUACGACUUCACCAUUACAAUCACCCAAAAAUCGCAGCUUUAUUUUCUUGUGUAACCCUAGCUACAUGCUUUCACGACCUCCAAUGGUCAUCAUCUCCAACUCCCUUUCUGCCUUCACCACCAACCCCCCAAAUAAAACCCUAGCAUCCUACAUCAGAUGAACCCGUAUCCACCUCCAACAGACGAAAUCCUAGCUGCCUCCAUCGGAAGAACUCUGAUUCGUUUAGUGCUUCUCACUCUUUCCUCUCCAACAGAGACANNNNNNNNNNNNNNNNNNNNNNNNNNNNNUUAGCAACAUUUGGCCCAUCCCAGAGUAAAACUUUUGUGUUUCUUUCUCCCUCACGCAGGUAUGUAACAACAAUAGAUUUCAAUCGCACCCUUAUCCCCUUCUCUUUCUGAUUCGAAUCGCACCAUACCCUCUUCGAUUUAACUUGGAGGGGCUAUGGCGAUGACUGGAAGUCUUUUUGUGUGUGAACAGGGUAGGGAGAAGACAAUGGUAGCUGAAAUGUCGAUUAUUGAAGGUUUGUGGAGGUUGGUGGAAAUUGGUUGUAAUGGAGGGUAAUGGUGGUUUUAAGGUAUUUGUGUGGUGGCUUAUGGUAUUAGGUUAUCAAUUUCAGGCAUGUAUGAUAAUGGAUAAGCAACAGCAGGAGAAGACGAUGAAAAAUAGAAGUGGUUUAGGGUUUGCUUUGAUCCAAAGUCUCGUUUCCAAAAUCUUGUUUGAUUUCUGAAUUGAGUUUGAAUUCUUCUUGUUUGAGUUCUGAAUUGUGUUUGAGUUUUGAAUUGUUGAAUUCUUCUUGUUUUAGUUCUGAAUUGUGCUUGAGUUUUGAAUUGUCUUUAGUUCUGAAAAUCAUUUCCUUUUUAAGUUGUUCUAAAAAUCAUCUUUGAGUUUUGAAUCCUUGCUUGAAUGUGUGUAUGUUUGUGUUUCAGUAUGUAUGCUUGAAUGGAGAAGAUGAUGGUGGUGUGAUGAUGGGUUUAUGUGAUGGAAGGAGAAGGGUGGCGUUGGAUGGUGGUGGAUGAUGGAUGGUAGUGGUGGUGAUGGUGAAUGAUGGACAAUAAUGGUGGUGGUGGUUUGUGUGUGGCUGAUGGUAGUGUUGGUGGAAAAAGGUGGUAGUGGUGGAAAAGUGUAGUGGUGGAGGUGAUAAGUAAAUAUAAGAGUUUUUAUGACAAAGGUGACCGGCACAUAAGGUAAAAUCAGGCUAAGGGGUAAAAGUGAACAAAAUUUCCGGUAGUAAAGGUAUCUGUGGCAAAAAAAGACGGCUUUGGGCAUAACCGGUUUUUUUGUGUAAAAUUAGAGGUUUUUAUGACAAAAACCCUUAAAUCAAACCUUAAUCAGUUUAUUGCUUAAACCUUACCUAAAAUAAAAAGUUGUUUGAAAUUUGCGGAAGCAUAACCCACUAAUUACGAGAGAAAUCGGUAGAAAUAGAGCGAUACAUACACAGCCAUGAUUAAAGAAUCAAACUGCUGGAUCAUUUUUGUCUAAGUUUCUUCUACGAUUUCUCUCCUAGUUAUUUGAUAUUGAUCUGGCCGAUUGCGCAACAAAAGCAGUACACACAAAUUAUCAGCAAAAUACACAGAAGUAUUACCUCUUCCAGAGUUGGACUCCUUCGGUUGCAGGCUUGCUGCUAACAAAUACGAAGCAGCCUACGAACUGCAAUGCAGAGAGAGAGAGAGAGAGAGAGAGAGAGAGAGAGAGAGANAAUCGUCGAGAGAGAGAGAGAGAGAGAGAGAGAGAGAGAGAGAGAGAGAGAGAGAGUUUUUCUUUAAUGUAGCUUCUUUUAUCCUAGGGUAACGACAACCAGAACUCAUAAGCCAACAAAUAUAGGAGAGUGACAACUAUACACUGCAUGGGGACACAGAUAGUGUUUGAUCUUCGGACCCUUAUGAAAUCAGCAGAGUCCAGCAUGUUCAAUGAUCCCAAGCUCCUUCAUAUGCAUAGCUUGAGGCAAUUGAGAUUGAGACUGAUGAAUUUGCGAAUGAAGUUCCCAGUGGGAGUACUAAUCCUAGCUCCAUUAAUGUACCCGAGAAAAGCAAAAGCCAACGAGAGUGCAAAGGCACCGAUAAUCUUCAUAGGUGGGUCUACUCUCAAAAAAAAAGGGGUUAUAUGAUACCACUUAAUGUGGUCGAGUUCGAUAUCUCCUUUUUACACCAAUGUGGCACCAUCCAUCCUUUUUACACGUAAAAAGGUUCAAAUAUUUGAAGAAAAUAUAAAAAAGGGAAUAGAAACUUGUAGUGAUGAACAAUUAUAAAAUCUCUUUUCUAGCUAAAACGAAGUCAAAUAUUCUCCAACCUUAUUGAUAUUAACAAAAGUGAUACGUAAUUUCUCUUUCC